AUAUAUAUAUAUAUAUAUAGAGUAGGAUUGCUGUGCUCUCAGGAGCACGGAGGUCUCCGUAGACCUCCGUGCUCCUGAGCCAUUUUCGAUGAUGAAAUUUUUGAAUCGACAAUUAGCUCUGUUAGACUUGAUCUGGCGUAUUUGAAGUUUCUAGAAAAUAAUUUUUGCGAUUUUUCGAUAUCAUUUUUCUAGCAAUUGAAAGGAUUCAAAAUCAAUAAUUUUUAACGACUGAAAAUAAAAAUUCUAUAAAAAGUAGUGAUAUAGUACUAAAAUUUGUUAUCAGAAAUAUUGAUCUUGUUGUAGAUAGUAUAAAGAAUUUUCUAUCAAAAUUUCAUCUGAUUUGAAUACUUCAACACCGUUAAACUUGAAAACGGCAAAUAUCAACUAUUAAAAAUUAUUGAUUUUGAACUCUUUCGAUCACUAGAUAAAUAAUAUCGAAAAAUCGUAAAAACUAUUUCUAGAAACUUCAAAUACACUAGAUCAAAUUUAACGGAGCCGAUCAUCGAUUCGAAAAUUUCAUCAUCGAAAACAGCUCAGGAGUAGCAAUCCUGCUAUAUAUAUAUAUAUAUAUAUAUAUAUAUAUAUAUAUAUAGUAAUAGAAUAUUUUCAAGUAGGUGCGAAUUUAUUUAUUUAUUUAUUUAUUUAUUUUUUUAGAGAUAGGUAGCAUGCUACCUGCUUCGUUUAUUUCAUUAAGAAAUAAACUUAGCUGAAAAUGUGAAUCAAUUAGGAUUCGAACUUAAGAUCUCGGAUACCAACCAUCAAGUCUUUUGUCACUUGCUUUAGAAACGGUCGGUAGAUGCGAAUUUAUUUACUAACUAUACAUUAUAUAUUAUGAUGUUGUCGAAGCUACAUGGGUGGGAAUUAUUCAAAAGCAAAUCUACUUGACUGUUGAUUUGAAAACCGAACGAGACGUAAAUUGGAUCUUUGUCGGGCUUGUUAUUAAUAAUAGGCAUGAAUGAUUGGUGGCUACAAAUUAGGGAUGGAGAUAAAAGGGGGAAGCAUAUUAUGAUGAUGCGUAAAACUAAGUGAUGUGAGGAAGAGGCUUUGAAAAGCACCACCACUGCUUCUCUUUCCAGCUCUAACCAAAACCCCACACCCUGGGCCCGUGUCAGGUCCUCAGCUGUAGCUAUAGCUUAGGUCCCAAACCCUGCUUUCACCUUCCUAAGUUAUCUUGUGGACCCGGCUCGCCACAUCCGCCAUGAACCACCCCAGCAUCUCUCAUGAUGCUGACCAAAAGUAGAGAUGGGAUCGAAAACAGAAGACAGGUGCUUACAUAGUUGAUGCACAGUACGUAUAAGCGGCAUCCUAUAAGGCCUAAGGUUGUUUGAAAAUUUUAUUACUUCAACGGCAUUAUUAAGAGAAAUAAUAUACUGGAGUAAUAAUGCCUCAUCAGUAAUCUUUGGUUUUUGUUGAUUGUAAGAGUUCGUCUGAUCUUGCUUUUAUUAUUGUUUUUAGUAGUAGUAACCUCUAGCGAGCAUAGUUGAUGUUUGGUUCCGAAAGUUGUUAAGUUUUUUUGUUUCUAUCGGAAACCCCAAAAAAAAAAAAAAAAAAAAAAAAAAAAUCAAUCAUGGAUUCAAUAAUAUAAUGUUUUUCCUAAAAGCAUUACUUGUUUAUCCUUUCAUCAAAUAGUGUGCACAGCUUGUUUAAGUUUUCAACUCUCCAACCUAGUGAAGGUUUUAGUUUUUCUUAUUUACCGGACGCUGUAUUGAGAUCGAUCGAUCGGUCGAUUGAAUAUGCAUAUGUGAAGCUAAAAGCGAAAGCAGAAGCAGAGUCGAACAUGCGCUAAGAAACCCUUGCCCGGUACCUCCCACGCCCACGCGCACGCGCACGGCACGUGCAGGAGAUCGAUAGAGCCAAGGAGACGACACCCUCCGGGGGGAAGGGGAAAAAACUGUUAAUGGCCUAAAAGAGAUUCCCUUUUUCUCGCAGAGAGGACGCCCCAUUAUUACUGCCACCUUUCUGUUUCCUUGUGGCUCUCCUAUAUAUCCUCUGAGAGAGUGGUUUUUUUUUUGACGUUAGUGGGGAUGCAUGGGCCCAACAUUUUUAAUAUAUGGUCCGUGUGCUUAAAUUUGCUCUAAUUUCAACAGGUCCCCCAUUCAUUUUAGAGUCCAUGGAAUUGUACAUUUGUUGUCCUUUUUGACUAAACAGGUACAUGCAUAUUUGUCGAAACUAUAUAAUUGCAGCCACUCCUGUAGAAUUGGUUUGUAAUUAACUUGGUACGUACCAAGCUCGACCGUCUCAGGGCUAGCUCGGAGAUGACUCGGUUCAAGUAUUGCUUUGAACAGAAAUGGGCGUGUUGGUUUGGUUUCAGAAUGCGCAUAUUUAGACGAGAGUUAAUAAGCAUGAGAAUAUGAUUUCGAUGCUAUAUGUGAUUCAUACUCGAGAAAGUACCUUAUCGAUUAAGUAUCAAUCUGUAUAUAGUAUGAUCAGAUGUUUCUUCUUUUUUUUUUUGAGAGAUAGAUAGCACACUAUCCGGUUCGUUUGUUUUAUUUAAAAAUAAAUUUAGCAAGAAAUGUGAGUUAAUUAGGAUUCGAACUUGGAACCUCGGAUACCAACCACCAAAUUCUUUGCCACUUGAUCAGAUGUUUAUAUAAGUGAUUGCUACUAUGCAUAAGUUGAGGAUCAAGAGUUGCACGAGAGCUCAAUCAAUCAAUCAAUCGCGCGCGCGCGCGAGAGAGAGAGAGAGAGAGAGAGAGAGAGAGAGAGAGAUCCCCAGAAAAAUCCCUAGCUUGCCUUCAAUUAGGCCAGCUUGAUAUGUGGUGGCUUGAGGACCCUAAAUUUUUCCAGGUUGAGCUUGUUUUAUUUUUGGACCCAAAACAAAUGGUGCCUCUGCUUAAAUGGCAAAUACAAUUAUUAAUGAUGGCAGUCUCCGUACCAAUUAAUGCCUAUUUUUGCGUGGUAUCCUAAAAGUUUAAUGGGUUUCAAUUCUUUUGGAAAUACAAGCAAGUGGUAAAUAGUUUAUGAGUUUGCAACAAUUAUGUAUCAUAUUUAUCCAUGUAAAAAGUUGCAUGUAUGUGCAAUGGUUCAUACCAAGUUUAAUGUAACAAACACUCACGAGAAUCCUAAUCUUAUGAUUUAAUGAGUUUCACCAAACUCGUAUUUAUUGUUGUUGUCUGUUGCAACUAAUCUUUCACAUGAAAAAAAAGAGUCGCAUUAAUUUUAAAAAAAAAGAGAUAAAAAAAAUGAGUCGCAUUUAAUACUGCAACAAAAGUACCGCGGCACAAUAAAUUAAAAGCCUAUAUGUUAAUAAUUAAUUAGUUGUAACUUCUCAUUUGCUGUUUCCGUGCGAGUGAAGCAUAAGCUGUAAAACUCUUUGACAGUAACAAUAAAUAUCAUGUUUUUGUGGUUUCUUAUAUAUCCAUUUCUCUCUUGUUGUGGAACAGUUAAUGCCCCUCAGAUGUUUAGCAACAAAAUAAAUUCAAGCGUACGAUUCGAGCUCGUAGGAAUUUCCUCACCCCACCAAAUGAAGUAAAUUUUAUAAUUGUUUUAAUUGUACUUAGCUCUCUAAAACUGUAACAUGCUAUCACUUUGCACCUUUUUAUGUUUUUAAGAAAAAGUAACGUGUAAGAUUUUGAAAACAAAAUUGAGGUAUAGAACAUCUAAAUUCUCGUUAAGAUAAAAAUUAACCCGCCUGCAGAGCACAACCUUAUAAUUGAAGCAAGCAGAACAUCAAAAUCAAACUUGUUCUCGGACUUCAAAUGCCACUAAAACUCUUCAGAAAAGCUCACCUCAAACAACGCUAUUACUUACAAAAGUUUCAUCCGACCUGCACCAACUUUCAGAGUCGCGAUUGGAAUGGGACAAAUACAGGCUGCUGGCACCAAUAAAAUUAGAAGCUCUGGAGCAAACUCCCGGACACUUCUUAAAUUGUGAUGUACCGCAUCAGAAACUGCAUGCUCCGCCAUGAAGCUCAAAGACAUGAUAUAUGCAAUUAGUCACAACAAGCGUUCAUCCAAAUAUCGGUCCCCCUCCUUAUAUGCAUGGAUGGGCUAUAUAUGUAUCUAUCCAUCUCCGAACAAACAAACAAUGGUACUACGAAGGUGACCCAUGCAUGAACACAACGCAAAGAGAUCGGCAAGUGUCCUCGUAUCAAUACAACCAAUAUCUCACUAGUAGGUGACCUUUUUUUUUCUUUUCUUUUUUUAAUUUUUUUUGCCCGCCAAAACAUUUCAUGUGGCAGACCAUCAAAUUGUUGGGGAAGAGACUACUGUUGUAUUGCUAGCUAGAUAAAAGCUAGCUAUGACAAAGCUUGCGAUUUUUCUUUUUUUUUUUUUUUCUAAGUUGAUAAAUGCUUUAGCUUAUUUGGCUAUGCCUUAGGUGGCUCCCAGAUGAUGCUGAUGUGCUGGCACACCCUGGCCCUAGGACGACCGCAUGUACAAACCAAGCAAACAUAUUUUAUACAUGCAUGCUAGCUCGUAUGCCAGAAGUUUUCGAGAGUGCACAUAAUGUAGUGUGGUUUGGAUGGAUUUCAAAUCAUGAGAAGCUUUACUUCAUAGAUGAGUUUUUCUUUUUUGUUUUUUCGGGGGUCCUCCAAGUAUGAAGCGCUUGACGCCUUGAUUAUCAAAUUUUAAUUUAUAGUAAUUUACGGCUAUAAUUUUUUAAAUUAUUACAAUUAAAUCUCACAAUUCAUUUUAAUUGGCUACGUAUUAAAUGAAUUGUUGAUAUCCAAGUAAUAUAAAAAUGCUACCACUGCUGGUGUGAUAAUAAUUUUGAUGUUACGGGACUUUUGCAUCAAAAUAUAUCAAUAUUUAGUCAAGUAAUAAAAUUGAAUUACGAGACUUUACUUUUAUAAUUCAGAAUGUUCAAACUAAAAAUUAUAAUAAAUUUAAAUUUGAAGACCAAAAUACCACGUGCUUCAUAGCUUGAGAACCAAAAGUAUAUAUAAUCCAACUUUUCUUUUUUUUUUCUUUUAAUCUUUUGAACUACUCUAUCAAUUCGAGAUAACGUAAUAAAGGGAUUAUACGAAAUUAUUAUAGCUUUUGCUUAAAGUUAAAAAAUUUGAAAAUAAGGGUGUACAUAUAAAUUAAUGCAGCAGUUGAGUGAUAAUUAAGCACUAAUUGCUGAUCACUAGUACUAAAAUUGUUCUCUUUGUUUGGAUUGAGGCAACCCAGCUAGCGUUGAGAGAUCAGAAAAGGAAAAGUUUGACUAUACAUGCACUGCUUGAAUUGACACUUCAAGUUAGAAACCAGCUUAGGAUUCCUGUUGCCCAUUCUUGGGUUUGAAGUGGGUGACCAGAUCCAACUUGGUCAGAAGCUUAUUUUAAUACCCUUAUUUUAAUACCCCAGUUUAAAUGCUAAAAAGGUAACAUAUUAAAAAUAUGUAUUAAAUAAUAAGGAAAAUGAACAGCACCUUCAACGUGAUUGGACGUGUAAAAGAGGUUCAAAUAUAUAUAUUCUUUAUACUAUAUAAAACAAGAUAAAUAACUUUGAUCUAAAUACUUAAUAUCAUAUCUUCAUAUUUUGUAAGAUUUUUAUUUUCAGCAGUUGAUUUUGAGCCACUUCGAUCACUAGGCAAAUGAUAUCGAAAAAUCGCAAAAUUUAUUUUCUUGAUACUUCAAAUACUCUAGAUCACGUCUAACGGAGCCAAUCGUCGAUUCGAAAGUCCGAACAUCGAAAAUAAAGUGGAAGCACGGAGCCCUCCGUGCUUCCAUAAGCAUUCUAGCCGCAAUAUAUAUAUAUAUAUAUAUAUAUAUAUAUAUAUAAUCAAAGUUGCAUUGAAAUGGAAGUUAUCUAAACGUGGUCAGCAAGUAAGAUAAUAUUUGAAUUUUCAAUGACACAGUGAAUAUUAUAACUUGAUUGAAUUUUUAAAUAUUUAAAGCUUAAUUACAGGAUAAGUUAUUUUUGUUCGCACUAGUGUGUGAUGUAUUGCAGCCUAAUUCCUAAAAUGAGAGGGGAAAAAUUGUUUAUUAAGAAUGAAAAAAAAUUGUAUGAAUACACAAUAGCUUUUCAAUUUGAACAUACAUAUUCAAGUAGGAACACAUGCACACAGUAAAAUUAAUUAUAUAUUCUCAAUUUUCUCAAAAAAAAAAUCAGCAAAAUUCAUUUGAUAAAGGGUUACAAUAAUAAAAAUCAUAGAUGUAGCUAGCUCUCUACGCAAUGUUCUUCUUAUAAAGUUAAUUUUAAGGAGCUCGAGGUUGACUAAAGAUUAAAUGAGCUCAUUUAAUUGCAUACGCAUAUAGAUAGAAACAUACAGGUGGCAAAAUAAUGAUACUAUUAGUUGCAUCAACCGCCACAACUACUGUACUAAGAUGCCUCUUCUUAAUUCAAAAUAAAUAUCAACUUAUACACCUAAAUAUGGUUAAGUACUGGAUUAUGAACUUAAUUUUUACACAGGUAACAACCAUCAUCUCCAAGCUCCUUGGUUAGCAUACAUGAAUUUUCGAGUUCUAGAUUCUUUCGCGUCUAAUCUCUUGCCGAUCAACAUUCAUAUGUUUAAAAAUCGUGUAUCGAUAGUAAAUCGAUCCCUUGAGAUAAUAAUUAUUUAAAAGCAUAAUAAUCACUCAACAAAAAUACAAGAGUUUUCUUGAAAUGUAACUGGCCGAAACACAACAGUUAUGCAUAAUUGACGUCACAAAGUCAUUGAAUUAUAUAUAUACUUAUAUAUAUAUUGAAAGCAAAUCUUCAAACUUUAUAAUGCAUCUAAAAUAUUAACACCUCUUAACUAACACAAAUUCAUAUACAAAUACAUACACAGAGAAAUGCUCAUGUAGAUAUGUAAAAAAAAGUACAAUUUCACAAAAAUAAACACCUAUUUUGUAAUAUAGUACGUGAGUGUAGCCAUCAAAUGUAACCAUCAAAUGAUUCAGUGAAUGGGAUUAUUAUGCGUUAACAACCUUUUUAUUCACCUAAACCUCUGACUUUUUAAGCAAAUUAAUCAAUUAACGCUUAAAAGAAUACAAACUAAAAGAAACAAAAUCAAAAAAGGGUCUGAAUCAAAAAAAUAUAAUUAAUUCCGCACGGCCUCUGGAGACUUCUCCAUAUAUUUUUAUUAAAAGAAAAGAAAAAAAAAUGCUAAUUUAUUUUUAUGAGGAUUAAAAAGAAAAAACUGUUAAUUUGGCCUUUUAUUAAGUUUUAUCCCCCGUAUUAUUAGGCCCGUGCCCCUAUAAUUAUAAGACUAAGCCCUUAGGCCUUAGGCCUUAGGCUUACCUGGAUCCACCAUGGACGCCUCCGGGCCCCACAUCCCUCCACCAGCUGUCCUCCACGUGUCCCCCAUUAAUGACGUGGCGGGCAUGCCAUGACGAUGCGGGCCCCACCACACCCCUCCCAAAAUUAAAAAAGUUAUUAAAAUACACGGUUUUUGAGGCGCUGUUGUGGGCAGUUAAGCGAACAGGGGCCCUUCUUAAAUUCGCGGGGGGGCUGUUCCGUGAUCCGCUGCUACGCACCGCACAGCGAACAACCUUUCCUGCCAAUCAAGACCGUCCGAUUGCGCAGAUCACUACGCAGGUGGGCCCCACGGUCGCGGUUUAACAUUUAACAUGUGCCCCAUUAAAAGGUGGGGGUAAAGUGGGGAAUAAUUAAGCCCCUUUUUUUUUAGUUUUUUUUUUUUUUUUAAGGAAAAAGUGGUGAGAGAUGCAGAGGAUUCUUGUGGCUUAAGCUCCCCUCCCCCACGUCUCUUCCAUAAAUACGCCCCCAAGUGAAUUUACCAACUUACCCUUCGAUGCUCUUUAAAGUGAAAAUGCAAAUUUUUUUUUUUUUUUUUUUUGCAAUUCAAUAAUUUGAGCCGGAUAAAUUAAAUAUUAAUUAAUUUUAAUUAUUCAACUGAAAUAAUUAACACUCAAUAACACUUAAUAAAGUCACUGAAAUUGAUAAAACUCUUAAUUAAUAUAAUUAAAACAAUUCAAUUCAAAAAAGUUGAAGCUAAGACAGUGUAAAUCCAAACAUAUAAUAAAGGCGAUGGGGCUAUUGAAAAACCCUGUAGAGUUGAGGGUCCUCCGAGCAUUUUUUUAACCUGAAAUCUACGCAAUGUAAAGGCCUUAUCAGGGUAGUUUCGUAAAUUCGCGCGAGCGUAUUUAAUAAGAGGCUAUCCAUCUUUUUUCACCCGACUCCUCUUCCUAUCUCUCUCUCUCUCUACUCUAUUAUCCUUUUCCCCUCUCUCUCUCUCUCUUAUUACUCUGUUCUGAGUCUCUGGGGCAGUUUGGAACCCGUGAAGAGGGUUAAAAAGGUUUUCCUGCGGUGAGAAUAAGCGCUUUUUACCACCGAAGCUUAGUUAACUGCUAAACAGUGGUGCUUGCUCUUCAUCCAUUGUCUCGUUCUCGUAAAAUUUUCGUAUUUUUGGGAAUAAUUUUGAGGAUGGUGGGGGAUAAAAAUACGAUCUUUAUCUUUCGAACAAUAAUUUGGGUGAUGAGGUCGGGGGUUGGAGGGGCAUCUUUUGCCAGCGAGGAAGUUGAAGGAUCGAAGCUUUCUCUGAAAGGGAAAGCUGUGGGGGGGUCAAAGCUGGCAUUUUGCACCCCUUCCCCCUCCCCUUUUCUCUUCUCCCUCUGAUUCUGGGGAAGGGAGGGGGUCCUCGAUUCCUCCUCACACCUCCUUAUUAAGGCCCCUCUCUACACACCUCACCACUCUCUAGAGUAGAGAGACAGAGAGAGGGGAUUUGGGUUCUUUUCUUUUGUUUUCCUCGACCCAGUUUUUGGCUUUCUUUUCUUUUCUAAUUUUUUUUUUUUUUGUGUAUAUAUUAUUUCCUCCUCUGCUUCUUCUUCUCCUCCUCCUCCUCCUCCUCCUUCUAGGUUUGGUAUUGUAUUGGGGUUUCGUGUUUUCGCGUGGGGAAGAGGAAGGUGAUGCGUAGGGAACAAUGUCGACCUCCCCUUCUCUGGCCGCGGAGAAGAAGCAUUGGUGGCUCAGCAACAAGAAGGUGGGUAUCUUCUCUUCUCUCUCCUCCUCUGUUUCCUCUCUUCGCCAUUGGACUAGGGGGCUUUGGAGCCUCUAGUUUGGGAUUCCCUGUUUCGAUUUGUACUUCGGUGAACACGAGCGGAUGUUUCUUUGCUUCUGAUUUCUUAUGGUUUUUAGUUUCCUCAAUAGCCUCUUCUUUGUUUUGGUGUCUACACUGUGCUACUAUUUCUAUCUAUACAAACCAAAAAACUCCUUCCCCACGUUUCUAUUCACUUCUCCAGUCCAUUUCUCUCUUCAGUUAUGCGAUUAGCAAAUAAAAAUCUCAUUUUUAUUCCAAGGAACUUCACUGUUCUCACGUUGAUCACGUUGAAAGCUUCAAGCUUUGUCUCUUGUUGUUUUAUGCUCUCUAUUGCCGCCAUUUCCACUGUGUUUCGAAGACAUAUUUACGUGUAAAGUACUCUCCAUUGUUCUCCUCUUAGUCACAUUCAAACCUCCUCUGUUCUUUGCUCUGUGAUCUCUAUAGCGCCAUUUCCACUCAGUUUAAGAUAUAAACAAGUGUCAAAACGUGAAAUUUUCUUUUUUUCCCUUUCUCUUUUGUUGGGGUUGGGGGAUUUAAGAUCGUGGACAGGUACUUGCGCGAGGCGCGAGCGCUGAUCGCGCGGCGGGACGCGUCGGACGUGGCGGCAGCGGUGGGGCUUCUGGACGCGGCGCUCGCGGUGGCGCCGCGUCUCGAGGCCGCGCUGGAGCUCCGGGCGCGCUCGCUCCUCGCUCUCCGCCGCUACCGCGACGUGGCGGAGAUGCUCGAGGAGUACAUGCCCAGCUACCGGGGCGGCGCCGGCGCCGGAGACGACGACUCCUCCGGCGGGUCCCUCGGAGGCGGCGGCGGCGGCUCCUCCGGCGAGCAGUCGUCGCGCGCGAAGCUCCUCUCCCCCGAGCGCGAGAGAUCCGACCUCGGCGGCGGCGGCGGCGGAGGCUCCUUCCGGUGCUUCUCCGUCUCCGACCUCAAGCGCCGCGUCCUCGCCGGGUUUUCUAGGAACGACCACAGAGAAGGCCUGUGGAGGUAUUAUUUGCAAUUUACUCCCUCAAAUGUUUCACUUUUAACUCUCCUUGGUCCCCCAACUGCUUUAUUUAUUGCAAUCUACGACUCAUCGCGAGAAAAACAAAAUAUAGAUUUUCCUUAAAAUAGCCAUUUUAUCUUUUUUCUUAAAAUGCUUCUUCUUAUUUCCCUAUACUUGAACUAAGGCUUUUUUUUAAAAAAAACAGCUCAGCAAUAAAAAUCACAUUUUCUUACAGGGCACGGGGUAAAACUUCAACACACGUAAAAAAAACUUGUACGGGAGAAAAAUCUCUCAAUAUCUGAAUGGUACACUGGACGGACAAUCCAUAAAUUUUAUCCGUAAAAUAAAUUUUUUUUGUUUUUUAGUAACAAUUUGAGAAGUAGAACUGUUAAUAAUUUUAGUGAAUUAAUUACAUCUUCUUGUAUUGAAACCAACCAGCAUGGAGUUUAUUUGUACAAAGGCUAUUAAUUAAUUUAUUUUUGGUAAUUUUUUGGGAGUUGGAAUAAUAAUAAUAAUAAUAAUAAUAAUAAUAAUGAUAAUAAUAAUAAUAUCAACGGAGCUUAGAUUGAGUCACGGAGGACAGUUCAUGUGUGACGAACGAAUCCAACGCAAUGCAAUCCUCGUCCUGGAUUUCCCCGACCCACGAAACCAAAGCGCCCGAAGGGAAAUGACCGAUAUGCCCCUAAUCCGUGCCCCUCAAACGAGAGGGCAAUUUGGUCUUUUCGGUUGUGGCAGUACGUCACAUCUUAUCAGAUCCUUUUGUCCGUAGCACACCGCGAGCCUGUCCUUGCGAUUCAUCCGUUCCGCUUUUGCGCGCUCGAACCGGCCGCGGUGUUCGACCCGGUUUGGUUUGUCUUUUUUAAUAAUUUCUAAUAAUAAUUAAUAAUUGUUGUGGGAUGGGGGGGCCCGUGUAGGUACUUGGUAUUGGGCCAGGCCUGCUACAAUUUGGGCCUGAUGGAGGACGCCAUGGUGCUGCUCCAGACGGGCCGCCGCCUCGCCUCCGCCGCCUUCCGCCGCGAGAGCGUCUGCUGGUCUCCGACGACAGCUUCGCCUCCGCCGCCGCAUCCUCCCCGCCGCCGCCGCCUCCGGAGUCGGAGUCGGCGUCCCACCUGCUGGCGCACAUCAAGCUCCUCCUCCGCCGCCGGGCCGCCGCCUGCGCCGCCCUCGACGCCGGCCUCCCCGCCGAGGCCGUGCGCCACUUCGCGAAGAUCCUCGACGGCCGCCGCGGGUCCUCGGCCGCCGCCGCCGCGGGAGCCGGCGACGGCCUCCCCUGCGCCUUCGCCGCGUCGUGCCUCGUCGGCCGCGCCGCCGCCUUCCGCGCCGCGGGGCGCCCCGCGGACGCGGCGGCGGACCUGAACCGCGCGCUCGCCCUCGACCCGGCCUCCGUCCCGGCGCUGCGCGCGCGCGCCGCGCUCCUCGAGUCCCUCGGCGCCCUCCCCGACGCGCUCCGCGACCUCGACCACCUCAAGCUCCUCUACGACGCCAUGCUCCGCGACCGCAGGGUGCCCACGUGGCGCCGGGCCCACCGGGACGUCAGCUACCGCGACGUCCCCGCGGGGCUCCGCGCCCUCUGCGCGCGGAUCCAGGAGCUCCGGCGCCACGUGGCGUCCGGGGAUGGGGGGAAUCGCGUCGACUACUAUCAGUUGCUCGGGGUGCCGCGCGGGUGCACCCGCUCGGAGCUGGAGCGGGCGCACCUCCUGCUGGCGCUCAAGCACAAGCCCGAGAAGGCCGUCGCGUUCGUCGACCGCAUCCACUUAGCGGACGAGCACCGCGACCUGGACGCCGUCCGCGACCAGGCGCGGAUGUCGGCGCUGAUCCUGUGCCGCAUGCUUCAAAAGGGUUACGCCAGCAUCAUGGCGAUGGUUAUGAAUGAGGAGGCGGCCGAGAAGCAGCGUGCCAAAGAAACUGCGGCCGCAGCAGCCGCAGCGGCUGCCCAGCAAGCAGUCGCCAUUGCAGCUGUGGCGGCCGCAUCGAAAGUCGCACUGCAAGAGGAGAAGAGUUCGGGCGCAGCUGCGGUCGCCGCGACGGCGCCGGUGUACCAGGGGGUGUUCUGUCGGGACAUGGCGGUGGUGGGGAGCCUGCUGUCGCAGGCGGGGUUCAAUAGGGCGAUUCCGGUUAAGUAUGAGGCGCUGAGCUGUUAACGUUGUGGCAAAUAUGUGAUUGGUCUGGGCUGACAGGAACGUGAAAAAAAGGGCGGGAAGGUUUGAAUUGGUUGUCCGCGUUUGUACAGGGGAAAAGGGUAACAAGUUAUGGAAGGGGAAAUUUUGGCUCCACAAUAUGUGCUUCAUUGUUGUUACUGUGCUGUUAACUAGUCGUAUCGCCACUAUUCACUGUUAUUUUCUUAGUUAAGUUUCUGUUGCUCUGCUCUUGCUAUAAUUUCUAGCCUUUGCUUCUUCCUGUGUUUGUACAGUUCAAUUGGAGAUCUAUAUAUGGACUCUGAUCUUGUGAAUGUCUACUUGGUAUGUAAAAGAUUUAGUUACCUCGAAUCUCUUUCUGAUAAAUAAUCGGAACGUCUACAUUUGAUGAGAACAUGUUUGGACUUGCUGGAGUUUCUGUUAAAGUUCUGUUUGAAUAAUUGAUUAGAGUGUUGAAGAAGUACUAAAAUCUUAUCCUAACAUAAUUAAUUUAUGAUCUUGUGGUAUCUUAUUAGCUGCGAGAACGUCAUCUUAGCCUACUAAUACGAUGGAAAAUAGAAAGUGAAAUUCAGCAUACGAUGAUAACAACGACACUGUUAGGAAAUCUUAGAAGCCAAAUGUGUAUGGAUAAAUUUUUUUUUCUUUUUUACAUGAUUCACAAUUUGUUGUCACUACCGCAGAAGUGCUAAAGCUGCAAGCGGUUGAGUUUCAUGCAGAGUAAAAGCCACAGUACAAGAGGUACACGUACACACGUGGUCUUUGUGUACGUGAGGUGGCGUUCCCGGUUCGCCCCUAAAAAUGGUGUGGGAGCCCCUGCUUUGAUUUCCGCGUCGACAUCAAUCCCAUCCCUUUUACAGCCCAUUGAUCCGGUAGAGCGAGGCCAAGCUGUAGCUCUCCCCUCUUUCCUUUUCCUUUCAUAAAGCAUUUCCUUUCGUAGUCAUCCUCGAUGUACUCUAAUAAAGAGGCGGUUGGUUUCAAUUCACUUUUGUGUAUUUAAAAAAGAAAAUUCGAGCUCCUAAUGCGUGCCAUAAUUAAUUACUACAUAAGAUUCUUAAAAAUUACGUAGACGCGGAAAAUUUAUGAGUUUCACAAAUUCGACUUCGUCCGCUACACCACCGAAGUCGGAAAUUCGAGUCAUGUAUAAUUAUGAACGAGAGUUUGAGCGAUUUUACGAUAUCACCGUUGAAAUACGUGUUGAUGUAAACAGUUUUUUCGAAGUCACGAAUUCAAUUUUCCACGUUCACAAAAACAAGUGAAUCCUACGGAAUAUACAAUUAUUUAUUAAAAAAAAGAAGAAACUGUGAUUGGCUGAAAAAAUAGACCCAAAACACAGACACUGCAGUGCCUCUCAGUCAAUCAUUUAGGCGAGCAGCGUCUUUAUAUGGAAUAGAAACGCCGUGUUUUUGAACUUCCUAUUAAGAUAUAAUUCAAUCCAAAUGAACAGUAAACAUGUGCUCAACACGUGACUAACCUUCGGAGCACUCUUUGGAUGUUGUCAUCUUAUUAUAGAAUAAAAGAUUUAUUUAUGUAUAAUUUCAUUUCCUGCAUCAUGUGCUAGCGCUGGACAAAUUCGUGCAGUAUAUGGGCAUAAAAUUCAAAGCGAGGACUACUGCUCUUCUUCUGGGUCAAUCUCCACUGUAUUCUUUCACACCUUUUGGUAUCUGAACUGUGUUUGCAAAGAGCCAAACCUACUUACAAGUUAAUACAUCAUUAGCAAAUUAAUAAAGAGAUUAAUUAAGAGCUUGUUGUUCUGGGGUUAUCGGAGAAGCUGCCUCUUAAAAAUCAAACACCUUUUUGUGUUAAAUUUCUUGAUAAACCAGUUUGGUGCAUAAUUUAAAACAAACGGUUGUUGUUUCGUGUCAUAACUGUUCGGUAAAACAUUAUAUUUUGCAAAACAAAUUUGAGAACCUAAUUUGGUUCUUAUUAAAUUUUUUGUGAAUUAUUUCUGUAGUCUGAAAAACCAUAAAAUCAAUAUUGCUAAAAUCUGCCCCUUCAAUUUAUUUUUCCUUAUGAACGUGCCUAAGAAAAAAAAAAAAUCUAAUUACUCUUUUUUUAAAAAAAAAAAAAACUGAAAAUAAUCUAAAAAAAAUGUUCUUAAAUUAACUGCAUAAAUAAAUUUNGGGGGGGGGGGGGGGGGGGGGGGGGGGUGCGGCCGUGCGGGCCCCGCAAAGCCCAUAUGGGGAAGAACACCAAGGACACGUCACACCCAAUGAGAGUACGCCACGUGGACGCUUCAUAAAGCUGUCAUCAUGACGUGAGAGCCACUUUCUUUCUUUUCCCUGCACGCUAGCCGAUGCGGGGAGAGGGUAAGGGCGACGUGCGGCCCACGUGUCCUACCGUCAUGGGCCGCACGAAUUUCCAGGUGUCACCCAGCCAAUACAGUACUAAUUUAUUAGAUUAAUAAUAAUAAUAAUAAUAAUAAUAAUAAUUAUUAUUAUUAUUAUAAGGCGCAUUCCAACAAAUUUGAAUUCUUUGUAUAAAUAUUUAUAACCAAAAGAGAUUUUAAUUUGCAAAUACCCUCAAAAUAUGCAUAUCACAUAUACAGAUAGUCAAAAGUUGGGAAUAACAGGGUUCAUUUAUAUACAUAAGUAGGCCCUCAAAUAUUAUAUUUUGGGUGCAAGUUUCUGCUAUAAAACUUUUUAUUAUGAAAUUAAUGAUGGUUGUUUGGGAAUGCUACAAUUUUGCCUUAAAUUCAUCUAGUUUUAUGCAAGAUCUUGCUUUUUUAGGGAAAAUAUAGCAAGCUGCUACAUUUAUUUUUAAGUAAUAGACUUAGUUAUAAAUAUAAAACAACUAAUUUCAAACUUUAGAUCUCAAAUAUCAAUCAUUAAGUCCUUAAUCAAGUACAAUAGUUACAUUCAUUAUGUAAAAUUUUUUGAAUGGGGAUAUAUGCAUGCUGCCAUAAGUUUUUUUUUCAAAGAACAUAAAGAUAGCUUAUUAUGUAUUUCGGCAAGCACGCAAGCAAAUAUGUGUUAUUUCUUAAGAUCUAAAUGCAAGUUCUUUUUUUUUUUUCUUUUUUUUUUUGAGAAAAAGAUAGCAUGCUAGCAAGUUCUAAUUUUUAAGAGCUGUUCAUAGUAAUAACUCAACUUCGAGCAAUUUAAAUGCAAAAUUUUCUCUUUCAUAUCCUGUAUACAUAUAUAGAUAUAUAUCUAUUGUUUAAUUGCAGGGAUUAUAGUGUAAAUUGCAUUUUUUAAGCAAAUCACUAAUAUUUUAUUGUUUUCAUAUCUGUUUUUUACUUGAUUUGUUAUUUGAUUAAGAGACGUGGGGGUGAACAAUGUAGUGGUACGUACUGUAGGAGUAUUUUAUGUGUUUUUCUCAUAGUGAGGAGUCAAUCACGAGGAAUAGUGGCAUAGACAUGUCUCCAUGUAUUCCUAUUGUUAACUAGAGAUUAAUUUCUUAAAAAAUAAAACAUAUUUAGACAUCAAAGUUUUAAAUUAAUAUUGUAUAUAAAGAUAAAUUACGAUUUCAAGAGUCAAAUAAUGAAACUCAAAUUUAGAAGUAAGAAUAAUAAGAUACGUGAUUCUCACAUGCAUGAUUCUCAUACACAGUGAUGUUUCUUCGAAUUAAUGAUCCAAUCGUAUUCUGAUAGUUUUCUGAUUCUAGUAUGAAGUUUUAGUAUCUCACUCGUAGAUAGUAGCAGUGACAUAAAUAAAGAUUAUAAGAGCGAUUUCAUCUUUUCACCAAGCCCAUAAGCCACACUGAUAAUCUCCAGAUAAGAAGCACAUCUUUACAGGUAACAUUGGUUUGGUUCGUAUGUAACUUGUAGAGAAAGAAAAAGAAUAUAAAAUGCAAAGCUAUAACUCUAAUAUACUAAUUACUUAAUUACUACUAACAUUCUUAAUGCAUUGUCACCUAGUGAGGUGUGAACAACGAGGGGUGGCAUUAUCAUGUUGAUGCGGACAUGUAAAGCAACAUAUUCUCACCACCCCCACAAAAUUAUUUUAUUACCUAAUUUUAAUAAUUCGAAUAUAAUAUUAUAACUUUUAUCAUAUUUUAUUGAGUCAAUGAUAAAAUAUGGUAUUAAAUAAUUCUGACAAAUCCAGUUUAUCAUAACUAAUAAUGGAUUUUUGUUUUAUCUUUUGGCGAAGGAAAAGUAGAAUAAUGCACAGCUUCGUAUAAGGGGGAGAGCACACAAAUCACAUCAAUUCAACUAUUACGGCUCUACAAAAAAAGGACCCAAACUAAGGUAAUAUUACCAAACUGCCAUUAGGGAUUUAACUUUAUUUAUUACGAAAACAAAAGAUAAGAAUUAAACUCCUGUAUUAUUUAAAAGUAUCAAAUCAUUAAUAUCCGUAGAGUUUCGUUUUUUCUAAUUAAUAGAUAUAUGGUUAGAAUGGUAAUGAUCUUUUAGAAUUGAGUUGAUAUUAAUUGAAUAAUAUGAUCUAACUGAUAGAAAUAAUCAAAAUGGUAGAUCUUACGAUAAAAAACUUACAAGCACAAAGUGCUUUGUACUUUUACAAGCACUAUAUAUAUAACCUAACUCACACUAUAAAUAUAGUUAAAAUAUAUUUGGCAAAAUAUUAACUAAUAUUAUUUUUUGAAAAUAUUAAAAGUGAAAAUUUUUUAGAAGUUAUUAGUUAGUUCAACAGUUAUUAUUUAUAUAUCUCCUAAGAUAUAUAUAGAGAGAUUAUGGAUUGAGUGGGCAUUAAAAAUAGAGCUAAUUCUCUUAAAAUUGUCAACUUUAAAAUUUGGCCAAACUCAAACUCUCCUUCCUCUUAGAUCCCAAAUAUGCCCUUCAAGGUAAGCACAUUUAGGAUGUGAUUUAGGGGUGUUUUAGUCAAUUCGGGCACUGCUAGUGUUCCAGGGAACAGAGGGCAAUGGUCGAGGUUGGGUCAUGUGAUGGAAGGAGGGAUGUGAUGGGUGAUGAUUGAAGGCACGUGACACUAACCAAGAAUAGGAAUAGUAGUGUUGGGAUUUAAAUAUUUACUAAUCACAGGUUUAAUGGGAUAAUUAAGAGAAUUAAUUAAAUAUGGUGUUAAAGGUGGUGGUUGCAGCUAAGAUUCACUGGGUGUUGGGGCUGGAUGGCACGUGCGGAUGGGUCAGAUCUCACAUGGGGCUUGACCAGGGCUUAAACCCUUUUCACACAAAUGAGCUCAUCGCUAGUAAGAUUACCAAACUUAAAAGAGUUUUUGUUUGGCAAUGAAAAUAAAAAAUUUAGAUUAUUAGAUUAAGCAGAUGUAAAUGCGUAAUGUUGUUUGAUAGAAUAUUAUACUACCCGAGCUAUUAGAAUGAACAUUAUUUUAAUAUUCUUUAAAAAUUAUAGCAAUAUUAAAAAUAUCAAAUUGAAGCAAUUUUCUUUUCGAUUUAAUUUUAUUUCUAUUUUUCAUUAUAGCUGAAGUUCUAAAUUUUUUUCUUUUCCAAACGUACGCUUCAUCUAAUGUUGUUGUUGCCAUUCCGAGCUUCAACUACAAGAAAUAUCUAUUAGAGAAUUUUAAUUUAAUAUAUUUUUUAAAAUAUGCUAUUUAAGUAACACUUUAUUCAACGGCACUAUAUCUUGUGAUAAAUCAAACAUAUAUACACACACACACACACACACACACACACACGUAAGAGGAGGGAGAAAAAUGUCCCACGCGCGAGAUCUGAGGGUCGUAAAGUAUUCGCCCAUGUGGACGGAAGGGAUCAGAUCACGUGUAUUAAGAGUGAGAUUUGAUGCUUGUAUUGGCUUUUCGAGACCAGUUUUGAGUAUUAAUUUGAAAGGAGAUCUGAAUGUUAGUUUAAAUUUUAGAAAUAUAACCUUUUGAUUGCUUUGACAAAAGAGUAAAAGAGUAUCUUAAGUUAAGCUCAAAUUAUUUCUUAAAGUUUAUGAAAUAACGCUUUGUUUAAGAAAGCCGAUAAUAAUGCGCGCCGAUCAAGUUGUGAGGCACUAUAAAAAGAAGUCCUAUAAGAGGAUAUUUUUAGGAAAAGUACUUCUAUUAUCAUUUUUAUCUAUUGUUCGUAGUAUAUAUUAUACAAUCUCUAAUUUAGCGGGCCAAAUUUUUUAAGAAAGAAAUCAUAUAUUGUAUCAUUCAGCCACUUAUUGCAAAUUUCACAUGACUUAUGAACAGACUUUUAUAAUACAAAAUUAUUUCAAGUACUAGCUAAAUAAAAAGUCGGGGCUUUUGCUAUGACAAAAAAGUUCUAGAGUGCCAGUAUAAAUGAAAGUUUCAAUCUGCGAAAGUCUUUACGUCAACUGCGGUUCAAUUUUGCUCAAAUAAUACUUCUGUCGCUCCAACCGGGCCUCAUGGGCUAGAUCAUAGUUCAGAUGCCUUUUACUUUGGGUAUAUGGGCCAAGCCAAAUCCACCUGAUGAGCUUAGUCAAAAUGUGUGUGCAAAUCUAGUUUGGAUAUAAGAUCUCUAUGCUUAUAUUAUUUUCGACUUGGUUGGUGCGCCGAACUCAACGAACCUAGCCCCAUAGUGAGAAGUAAUUAAUUUUUGGAGAAACUUCAAAUACCACACAUGUGAUUUCGUAUUUUUUUAUUUCAAUACCUUGUGGUUUAAAGUGCAUCAAUUUAGUUAAAACUAAAAUAUACUAAAUUAAAUAUUUGAUAAACCUAGAUAGAGUAUCUAUAGUUUUUUGUAUAUAAUUUAACGAAAUGUUAUGUUAAUGAAGGAGCUGACAAAAAAAAAAAAGAAAAAAAAACCACAAGGUACUAAAUUGAUACACUUUAAACCACAUAGUAUUAAAGUGAGAAAGUGCGAAAUCACCGGGGUGGUAUUUGAAGUUUACCUUUUAUUUUUAUUUUUGAGGUAGGACACAAGCUCAACUUGAUGAGCAAAUCUUAACAAUAAUUCAUGUAAUUUAGUGAUUGAAUAUCACCCUUGGCCUCAUAAAUAUCAUUGUUUCAUGUAAGAUUCAUUUGUAAUUGCGCAAAGAGAAACAAAAAACAUAGUAAUUAAAACACACCACGCCGUCAAUCGAAUAGUAGUACAAGUGUGAAAAGUUUUACAUCUCUUGAAACAUGAUGUUGUACAUGUAAUAAAUGAAGCAAGAAGAAUGUAAUUUUACAGCAAUCAAAGUUCAUCCUCACCAUCUUUUCUUAUUGUACACACUCUCUCUCAUCUUUGGAGGCAUGAAGGGUUUCUGAUACCUCCAAAUUGCUAUAGAAGGAAUUGGCUUCUUACAUUCUUCUUCAUCAAUGUGCUUCAUUCAUUACUUGCUCCAUUGUAGCCAAAGAGUAGCCAAAAAUAUUGGUAUCCAUGAUGUAAUGAGUUUAGGAAUAAUGAGUUCGUUCCCAUUGUUCGGUGCAAUCGUCAUGUUUCCGGCAUGAGCCGCAGCAAGUGAACCUGCUAAUUAUGUUAACAAAGAGAAGUUAUUCGGGAAGCUGAGCUGAACCUGCAGUUAUUGCACUAGUUUGGAAACUAGGAGUGUGCUUGAGCAAACCCUAGCCUGCGUAACCAGUUCGGUCGAACCGGUAUACGGGUGUAAUUGGUUCGGCUUAAUCAUAUGGAUCAAUUUAUUGGUUACGGGAUAAAGAGCCCAAGUAGUUAAAAAUAGAAGCAUCAACACUAACUUGGUUCGGUUGGUAGAGAUGACCAAAGCGAACCAAUACCAAAAAUCGAAAUUCCACAAAUAUAUAUCCAUAUGGAACCGGAACGAAAACCAAUUUAACAGAACCAACUACAUUUAUUUGGUUUGAUUCAGUUUGGUUUUCAGAAUAGGACUAUUAGAUCCCACUAGUACGUAUGUCAAUUGUGGGCCGAUACCUACAAGUUCAUCUAACUUCGAAUCUAAAUGGCACGUGUUUAUCUGAUAUAGGAAAAGGAAAAACUGACGGGUUCGAAUUUGGAUAUGAAUUUUGUCGGUAUCAGACCGAACCCAAAUAUAAUUUAUAUUAUAUUAAUAUAUAUGAUUACUUGAUGUGAUGUUUGAAUUUAUAUUUUGAAAAAUUAGAUUUCACAUAAUAUAUUGUGAAAUUUGGUAAAAAAAUAAUUAUUUCAGGUUUGAAUUUUCAGGUUCAGAUUCAAGUUUUUGGAAUUUUGGUCGGGUUCAAUUUUGGAUAUAGAUUUUUAAAACCCGCCAAGCUCAGAUUCCGGUUCAGAUUUCAUGUUUGAUAUCGGAUUUGAGCUCGAGUUUUUGAAAACUCAAACCGAAUCCAACUAGUUAACAUCCCUACCCGCUAGAGAGGCAAGGAUAAAAAUGAGAUUUCAAUCUAAAAUUCUACGUAAUCUUAUGUUUGCUCCUUCUCUCUCGUCUUAUCUGAUUCAAUCUAAUUCUAUUACAUUCCAAACAAGUUUCUAAAUUCUAAAUUUCAACAAGAGAAUUGAAAACUCACCUCCACUGCCGCCAUCCGAUUGAGAGCCACCACUGCUGUUAUUCCCACUACCAACACCACAUGACAUUUGAAAUAUGGCCAUAACUCCUUGCAUGAGCCCUGGGUUGUACCCUUGAAAAUUGGCCAUAAUCCCGUUUACGCAGUUCAUGAUCAGCAUCAUUUGCCCAAAGCAUGGCCCAUUGCAUAAUCCCGCGGUCGCAUUAGAUGUCGAAGUAGACGCCGUAAUGUUUUUCUUGAAAGGGAUUAGCCCAGUGGGAGCAGGAGGAGCACCAGUAGUGUGGUUACUAGUAUUGGCAUUAGUUGCAUUUGCAGUUCCAUUCAAGUUUAUUCCCAUUGAUUGGAGGCACCCAUUGAUCACCUACAAGUUUUAUGCAAGUGUAAAGUAAAGAGGUGUGCUAUUCUCGCCGACUCGGUGAGCCAAAUCGGCGAGGACCGCCGCCCCUUCAUCAGACGGUAUUUACUGAUUCCACGAGCCAAAUCGCUGAAUCGACAAAUUUAAUUCUUUUCCUAAAGUUAAAAAAAAAAAAAAGAAACAGUUUUUCUAUUCUUACAAAUAGUAGUUGAGUGUUUGGCGAAGCAGAAGAUGCGAUUCAAACUUUUGCUUUUCUUAUUUGAAAGGAUUUUAAUGAAGAAAAAUAUUUGCGAAUUAUAUUUUUUUUGAAUAGUUCUAUUCAAACAGCACUUACUAUUACAGUUUUUAAUGAUUAUCGUAUAAAAGUAAAGAUGUUCUUACUGUACGAUUGUCAAAGCAAAGAGCUGCGCUGGCUACAAUCUGAACUGCAUCUUGUGCUGCAUCAUAAAAUGAAGAGAGAGAUUUAGAUAAAACUUUUUGUUAUCUCAAACACCAACAAAAAGAAAAAAUGAUAAGAAAUAAGAUAAGAAAGAGAAGAAAGAUAUGGGGAAGAGUGACUUAAUUUACAAGAGGAGAGGAAGUUAAAUUACCUCUACAACGGGAACAAGCAAUGCAAAGUAGAGCAGCUGCAAAGAAUAAAUGCUUUAGAGUGAGAGAAGCCAUAUGAAAAAAAAAAAAAUUGAAGAAGGAAUAGCUUCUUCAACAAGAGCAAAAAUGAGCACUAUUUCACCUCCAUCUUAGGUUGUAUGUAUAUAUAUAUAAGCAACCCUAUUACAUGCACUAUUAACAUAGGAAGGGAACUAUUAUCCAACCUACACACACUUGCCCAUGAUUCUUAAUUUGCACCAAGAAACCUAGCUAUCGCUUUCAAGCAGAUAAAACUAUGACUAUUUCUAGGUCAUUUCUCAUUUCUCAUUAUUUUUUCUUGCAUGGUAUCAAAGUCGGUCCUCAUUAAAUCUUUUAAUUAUGUAGGGAUCAUAGUUUCAAAUUUUUCGUAAGUCGUAAUAAUUAUGCUUGUUUGGUCCUACUUAUACUUCUACGUUCAGUAGCAACAAUAUUAUUGGUUUUUAUAUAAAAAAUAUGGAAGUUCAGAACUUCUGCUGUUGUGAGAAAGAGAAAUGAGAUUGUAAUAUCUAAAAGCAAAAGCUCCAAAUUAGCUUCUUUUUAUCUGCUGCAAAGAAAAAAAAAAUUAAAGAGAAAGAUCUCAAUUUAAUGAUAUAUAUAUAUUUAUAUAUAUUAAUGAACUUAGCUGAAAAUGUGAAGUACCUAGAAUAUAAACUUGAGACUUUAGAUAUUUACCCUCAAGUCUUUUGCCACUUAUGCUAAAAGACAGUUGCUAUAGAGAAGAACUAUUGGAAGGAAUUAAAUAUGGUAUUUCUUUUGAUAAUAUAUUCAAUAAUACUUCAUCAAAUAGCAAUUCACCCUACAUAGAUCCUUGGUAGCUAGGUUAAAAGUCCUAUUCAACAUUGCUUGUGUAUAGGAACUAUUUUGUAUAAUGUCAACCAUUUGUGUUAAAAGAAAAAGAAAAAAAAAAAAAAAACCAUGCAUUAAUUGGUUGCUGUUACUAUGGUUUCACCAACAGUAAUUAGCCACAUAAUUUAUCAUUUAAUUUGGCAUUAACACCUGAGAUUUACCAAUUUUUGGUAGUAAUAUAUGAGCUCAUAAGGAGGUGGGUGGAGUGUUUCCACUAAUUCCACAUUGGCGAACCUAAAGUUAGUUUUUGGUAGUUUUUAUUGAAGGGGGAGGAUGCAGAGUUUGGUGCACAACGAUCAACAAACUUUCACUUGUCUCAAAGACUUUGUUUCUUCACAAGUACCCAAUAAUCAAACCUACACAAGGCUUCAUAACUCCCACUUUAGGAAUUUGUCUCAUCAUUUAAUGUUUUGCAUAUUUUUUAUUGGUGGAUUGAUAGUGACCUUUCUCAUUAACUGAUGCCUAAUAUGGUAGAUGGUGCGUAUUUACCUAGCUUAGAAAAUUUUAGAAAUUGAUUGUUUGAUUGACUAAACUUUCAAAAACUUUUGUUACAACAGAAACUGAAAUAAACUUUUGAUUCUCAAAACAUCUUAAGUUUUAUUUUAAAGUUUCUGUUUCGAAUUUUGGUGUAGUAUCCGACGAUUGAUUAGAUUUCAAUGGAAAAGAACCGAGUACUUUUUCACACAAUAUUUUUUUAUUAAAAAAAAAACAACUUUAUCUGGCCUUCUAGGGCCUUUGUAGAUCAUAACUUUCUCUGGAAGGCCCUAGAAGGCCACUAUAAUGGGCUCAGCUAUAAUGGGCUGGUAUUGGAUUUUUCUUGGGCUUAUUUCGAGCCUAUGCAGUAUAUUGGGCCCGGCCAUUAAACGGCCCAAGAAUAAACUGCUUCUAGACAUUUGUGUACUAACAUAUGUUCCUUAACAAAUAAAAAUUGUUUUAAAAUAAUUUAGUUCAACUAGUACUUUUUAAUGUACGAACCAUAGAGAACCUUAGGUCCAUUUUUAAUAUCACUAUUAGUUGGUUCUUUUUAUAUUUUUUUUUUUAAGUUGCUUGCGCUAGAGAUUACGUGUUCUAUUGAAUUGUACAAGGAAAGAAUUAAGAGUAAUUUCUUAUUCAAAUGGUUGUAUAUAAAAAAAAAAAGUGUGUGUAGUAGUCAAAGUGUUCAACGACCUUCCGUUGACUACCAUGUCAUGUAAAAUAAUUUUUUUAGAGCACGUUAAUGUCGAACUUUUGAUUAUCGCAAUAAUAAGUACGCUUAAUAAUUGAUAAUUGUGAUAGAAAUAGGGAUUUUACUGCAUAACGGAAAUAAUACUUUGUUUGAAAAUAUUUUUGGUGACAAAAUUGAGAAUAAUAGGUCUUAUUACAACAGAAGAAUACUAUACUACUUAAGGAGCUUACUUAGUAUUGCUUAUUCAAAUAUAUACACAAGUAAAACAACAAAAAAAGAUCCUAAUUUUGGUUUACAACAAUUUUGAAAACUCUAUAAAUUAAUUCGAGUGUUCGACAUUGUUUUUGAGAAGGAAACUCUUGUGCGAACUCAGAUAAAUAGAAUUAAGCAUCUAAAUAUCUAGAAGUAGGAUUUGAAUUUGAAACUUCAAUUUCUUGAAAAAUUUAUUGAUGCAUCCAAUUAAUGAUGAAUUAAUAUAAAAAUAUCUACUGAUGAAUUAAUAAGCCUUUACUAUUUUAGGGGGCCAAAAAUACACUUAGUUACAACAAAAUAUUUUAAUUUAUUGGGCUAUUCUGGUCAGUUAGGUCACUAAUGACAGGCUUAUGAGUUAACCAAAUAGCAAUAGAAAAUAAUUAAUUUGUAGGACACAUCGAAAUUAAUAAAAAGAAUGAAUUGGUUUAGUUUGCGUGCACUUCAUGAUAUCAUAAUGUUGGAGUACAUGCAUACAUAUAUAACUAGGCAAUCCCAUGAAAACCAUGGCCUCUUCAUCUCUCUCUCUCUCUCUCUUUCUCUCUCUCUCUCUCUCUCUCUCUCUCUGUGAAGUGUUGAAGUGAGAAGCCCUUGUCAAAAUGGCUUCGUCUCUUUCUCUGAAAAUUUGGUGCUUCUACAUAUAUGUAGCUCUAAUUUGCUUGUCCACUUCUCGGUCCAAUGCAGGUUUUUGCAACUUCUCUUAAUUAUUUCUUGCUAUUGCUUUUUCUGAAAUAUGAUUAGUUUACUACACGCGCCAAACAAGAUGUACAUAAUCUGUAGUUACUCGUUUUUAUUGAUUAUACUAUCCAUUAAUCCCAAGAUGAGAGUAUUACUAUAAAAUCUUCAUCAUAUUUGUCGACGUCAAUUAAUACUCAUUACAUGAAUAAUAUGAACUUAUGCAGAUCAAGUGGCUGGAGAAGCGGGAAAAGAAAUGCUGUGCUUCGACGACAACUACGUGAGUGCAUGAUCAUAGCACGUGAAUUCUCAAAUAAUUAUAUUACUUACGUUUAUAUUCUUAACUAAUCUAGCUACAUUGCACGCAUGGUAACAUAAUUGAGAAUUUUGCAUAAUCGAUCCCUCAUGCUUACUUUUCUACAUGCAUACAUGAUAGCAUAAUUGAAAAUUAUGCAUGCACGUCAUUGAAUGUAGAACAAUAAUUAAUGCCAUUGCCAUGUUUUGCACCCAUUACUUGUUCCUUUAUAUUGCACUUAAUUUUACUGUACAAAGCAAAAUGUAAAAUUUUGAGUUUGCUUUUCCUAUUGUAUAUACUAUCCCCUAGGGAUAAGAGAAAUCACACCCAUGCACAUAUAUAAUAUACCUUUGAAAAUUUAAUUUGAGCGAAUAUAACUGUUCAAAAAUGAAUUUGUCCUAGCUAACAUAUAUAAUUAUAGUUCUCUUCAUAUGCAUGUGUCUCUUCUACUGGCCAAAAGAUAUACAGCAGCUGCGAGGACCAGUACAGAUUGAAAGCAGAAGGGAUCAUCGGGGUCGCUCCGGAGGCGACCGACGAGUACUGCGAGGGGCCAUGCUUCGAGGAGACGAUGCGCGUGCUUCUAUGCAUCGACAACACGCUGCAUGGUGAGUUCAGGUUCGAGAACAGCGCAUCGGUGGAAGACGCACGGAAUGCUCUCCAAAGAGGGUGUAGCCACACUGAUAAAAGAGGUGCCUAUCAUUUUUCAACUUUAAUUUUUUGACUGUAAGACGCAGGAUGAUUUUUCUAGUUGUCGCCAUGAUACCGAGAAUAUAGAGGUUUGAUUUUCUCAAGUUUUGAAUAAGAUUGUUCUAUUUGCAACGCAAAAGUAUCAUGCGUUUGAAUCAUGAAAAGAUUGUUUAAUUCUGUUAAGGAGACUUCGACGACGUUACGGAGCGCCCGGAAGGCCAUCAUGACAAUGAACACGGCGACGAACAUGGGGACGGAGUACACGGGGACGAAGAGCACCACCAUGAAGAGGGAGACUUCUAUGACCAUCCCGGUGAAUUCGGAUACUUCGAUCACGGCAGUAAGCUGGACAUCUCCACCGUCCGUUUGAUGAUGAUGAUGAUGUUCGUGAUCAGUGGGGCUCUGCUUCUAUUGAGUUAGCGAGCACUUGUACAGUUGUAGUACAACUCUUGUUCACUAUUAAAUGAGAAGUGGAGGUUGUUAGAUUGUAAACAUGAAUUUUGAACCCACUACCCCUUUGAUUGGAUGCAGUAUAUCCCAAGGUGAUAUCGUUCGUAUGCAUGUUCCACAAUUUCCUUCAAGAAUUAAUAGAAAUGAGCUGUGACUUGAUAAGAGUAGUUUUACUCUCAAUUUCUUUUUCCUUUUUUUUUUUUUCAAAAACAAAAUUGUGUUGGUAAGAGCAUUUUUGGCCGCACCUCUGCUUUUCCACGGUACCAGUACAAACCCCUCCAACCAGGCCAAAACAAGCCGCUGAUGAAGCUCCAAAGUUCAUUACGCUCAGAAGAUCAAAAAUUACUUUGGUCAUUUAGCUCUUCAUUGGCAACUCGCCUCAUCCCAUCACAUGGAUUGGUUGCCACAACGCAGAAGGAGAAUCAUUGAUUUAUAGCACCUCCUAAUUAAUCUUAUAUAUAUAUUUAAUUUGGAGCCUAAUUGUUUGAUGCAUCUCCCGUAAUUGAACCGACUAAAAUCGCCUUCAUUAUCUUUCAGGCUUAAAUGUCAGCAGUGUGACAUAAACAUCCCACCCCAGUAAUUGACCCGGCUAAAAUUGCCUUCAUUAUCUUCCAGAUCUAAAUGUCACCGCUACGACAUAAACAUCCCACCCAAGAAUAAUACUUUUGUCCCGGUUUACCCAAAGACCCACAGAAAUUAAAAAGAAGAAUUAUUUAGUACAAGUUACGGUAACCCAAUACAACAAUUUAACCAACGUUAAUUGUGUUGUUUACGUAUCCUGCACCAACUGGGUGGGUAAGAGAAACGAGAAGAACAAGAAUCUGCCUCCCGCAUCUCCCCUACGUUCUUCAAUUCCCGCAAGAGAAAUAACUUGGUUCGUCUCUAAUUUGUUGCGCAGCCAAUGCGUCGGUAUCCUCGCACUGGAAUAGCGGCAAAUCAGAUUUCACUAGAAAGGAAACAAAAUUACUCCCGUAAAAGGAAGAAAUUUACUCUAAGCAGAUAUCAUCUUCAAAUUCCAAAUACUCGCACCUUAUUCCUUCUAACAAAUGGUCACCACCAUCUCAUCAGCUCGCCCAUGCUAAAAAUUUCCAGCUCGGAAAUUUACUCCCACUAAAAAUGUAUUUGUGCUUCAUCAUGGACAUACAGUACAAGCGACAUUUUACACUACAAAAUAAAAGGCACAUCGCAAGUUAUCCUUGUAGGCUAGCAAUAAGUGUUUUGCACUAAACGCCUAGCAAUGGUCUUAAAUACUAGCUUUUCAAGACCAGCUCAUUGUCAACCACCGAUCAACAUUAAAAUUCGACAUGCACAAAAGUUAUAAAUCAAUUCACUAGGAGAAAAUUUUAUUAUACUACACUGGAUAAAUUAAAAAGAGUGCUAGAGCAGUACACUGGAGAAGCACGACUCUAUAGAACUAUGAAUCAUCUUUCUAGGAUGUGGUAGAUCAGAUAUCGGCUAGCCCCACGAGCUUCUUGUAGAAUAUGCGGUUAUCUCUUGCAGAAUUGCUCUCAAAUAGAGCACUCUGUACCAUUUCCUAUUUAUAAAAAAACAUGGGAGUAGAGUGAAAAAAAGGAAGUAAAACCCAGUUUAGCAUGUUCAUUUGGUAUAUAAAAUAGUAUUACUACUAACCUUGACAUCCCUAUGGGAAAGGAAUUUUCCUAGAUUAUGAAUGAUGCACCUCAAAUCUUCUACCUGCAAUAAGUAAAUUCGGUAUUACUUAUUGAAAGAUAUGCCAUGAAAGAUUCCAAUAAAGUAAACGAUUAGAAUUACUUACUGUAAUGUAGCCCACUCUAUUUUGGUCGAAGUACCUAAAUGCCUAAGAUGAAUACCAGAGCCACAUCAAAGGUAAACAUAUCAGAAAAAUAAAGCAGAGAAAUAUAUAAUGAACAAAGUGCUUAAAUGCCUAGUUUCGGCUGGCUUUUGAAACUUCUCUACUCUAAGCACAUGCUUGGGUAAAAGACUAAGCUUUUGCUUUGACAGAUGCUGAAAUGAGUAGUUAGGCAACAAAAGCACAAGCUUUACUUUGUAGCUUCUGCUUACGCAGCAAGAAGCUGUUAGGGGAGUUCAAUGAGAAAAAGCAGACAACGCUUCUUCAAGGAACUCUACUCUGCAUGAAUAAAUUCCAGAAUAAAGAUUUAGAACAAAAAAAAAAUGGAGCAGACAGUUACCUGCAAUAGUUCCUUAUCAACAACAUCCUCCUUUGCCAUAUCUUUCUUCUCUGAUGCAGUUUGUUUAUCCCCUUUAGCAUCAGAUUUUUCAUCCAUCCGUGCUGCUUUUUGAGCACCAUCCCCUUUUGUACCAGAUUUUUCAUCACCCUUUGCAGUUUGAUCCAAGCUUUGCUCAUUCACAAUUUCUUUGAUUUUAUCAUUUUCGUCAGUCGCUUUUUCUUGCCCAGCCUCCACAUUAUUUGUUUUGUUUGCAUUUGCAUCCUGCAGAAUGGGAAAAAAAAAAUCAAAAUGUUCAGCACUUCAAGUUUCUAAUGCAAAAAUUCCUACUUAAAUAGUAGAACAAGAGUCCCUAAGAAGAAUUCUCUAGAAAAUAAUAGAAAACUGUUAAAACCAUGCAGCAUUAGAAAUUCCAAUAUUUUAGAAUAACACAAAACAGAAAGGAUAAAAUGCAGAAAAACCCGACCGAUUUAUCGUAACGUUAAACUUAACCUCUUGUAAAAUUGAGGGGAUUUUCUAAAGAUCUCUUAUCAAGGGGGUAUUGCGGAAAACAUAAUAGUCCAAAGGAGGAUUAUGCAUGUUAGCCUGAAAACAGAGAAUGGGAGAAAGAAUAAUUACAUCCUGAUCUGCAGCAUCAUUUGGGGCAGCGGCAGCAUCAUCCAUUUCCUGAUCCUCCUCAACAAUUUCCUCUGGAUCUUCUUCUUCCUCCUCUUCUUCAUAUUCUACAUCAUCAUCUUCAAUUUUGUUUUCUAUUUUGGGCUCAUCUGGGACAGUACCACUUGCAUCUAGAGCCAUAUUCUCUUCAUUAGCAUUUUGGUUUGAUGCAUCCUUCUUUUCGGAUUUUGUAGGGUCAUUUUCUGUUGGAGUCUCAUCAUUUGUCUUCACACGUUUUUCUGAGGCAUUUUCAUCACCUUUCUCAGAUUUUUCAUCUCUCUGUCUUUUACGUUGGUUUCUUCUAAUUACAUAUCUUCUCCGUAAUCUCUGAAAAUAUAAAUAUGAGAGCACCAAUCAAAGAUAAUAAAGAAUUUAACAGAAAGCAAGAUUUGAAAUGUACCUCGAGAAAAGCCAAGAGCCGACAUCCCAUUUGGUACUGAAGCAUUUCAUUAAACGUCUCAGCAAAUAGUGAAAGCUACAAAAGUUUAACAGAAUAAAUAAAUGUCCCCAAAUAUUACUACAACUACUACAAGAGCUAACAAAAUGAACAAAAAAUUUAUAAUCAGGUAAAGUUCUUUCUAUCUAGGGCUCUAAUUACAAUCUCAAUUAUUUUUUUUUAAAAAAAAUAAAAGGCGCAAACACUUUUUCAAUAUAAUUGCCUAUUAGGAGAAGCAAAAAAAAAAAGCAAACCUCAAAAGUUGACUCCUCAAUGUCUUUCUCAUUAUAAUCAAGGAGCCCAACAAGCGAAAGUGCCAUUGAGCGAAUCUGCAAAAUAAACUAGAAUCAGACAAAGAAUCAACUCAAGCAAGUCAAUUAAACAGUCCCAACUGUACAAAAAUAAGAAGCUAAAAGCUUCAAUGAAAUCAUACUUUAGAUCCCCUGCCCCGUUUCGUCCGCACGACAAAUCCUGGGUUCUUGGGGGGUCCUUCUACCUUCUCUUUUUCCUUAACAUCUUUCCUCAUUUUUUGCUUGGAGGACUCAUUCUUUGCAUCUUUGCUCUUACUCUCUUUCUCAUCCUUUCCAUCUUUGUUAUUUUCAUUCUUUGUAUCUUUGCUCUUACUCUCUUUCUCAUCCUUUGUAUUUUCCUUCUUCCCAUCUUUGUUAUCUUCCUUAGAAUCCUUUUUUCCAGAUUCAUGAUUGCUCUUAGUGCCUUCUUUAUUCGUAGUAGAUUUACUUUCAUUAGAAGGGCCUUCCUUCUUUCCUCCUUUUUCUUCUUUCAUUUUCUUAUCGCUAGAGGUUUCUUUCUCAACAGACGGGGACUUGAGUUCUUCUUUUAGACCAACUUGACUCAUUAUGCCUUCUUUGCUUGCUUCAUCACUUUUGUUAGGGGCAGAAACUUUUCUCUUAACCACCCUUCUAAUGAUUUUCUUCUUUCCAGGUGUCUUAACUCCAUCUUUUCUUGUUUCACCUUGGCCUUUGUUAUCUUGAGUAACUGAUUCUUUUUCAGGUUUCUCCUCAGUCUUAGUCUCAACAGUCUUAUCCUCUUUAUUUUCCCCUAUGGUAUUAGUAGUCUCUUCUCCGCUAACUGGAGUUGCUUUCUUGCGAAUUACCCUUCCUUUAACCACCUUCUUAAUGAUUUUCUUCUUUAUGGGCUUCUUACCCUUGACUGCUGGUACCACAGGGGCCUCAUUGGGAGUUGAAGUUUCAUUAUUUAUGCCUUCAGCAUCCACAGCUUCUGCAUCCUUCUUCUUGAUCUGUUUUUCAUUUAAAGCAGGAUUUUCUCCUUUAUUCUCAGUUACAUUUUUCUUAGCUCCAAUAUUGCCAUCUUUUUUCUGUUCGUUUGUUUUUUGAUCAACUUUAUCAACUUUGCUUGCAGCUUUGUUAGAUAUUUCAUUUUUAAUGGAAUCGUCUUUGGCAGCUUUUUUCUGACUUUGAUCCCCUGAAGAUAUGAACUAAAAAGUUUAACAACUAAAAGGGGAAGCAAGAUUAAAACCAAAGGUACAACAUGAACGGGAAAGUCUUAUAUUCAGGGAAUUACCUUGGACAGUUUCCUUCUUCUGAUCAGGUUUCUGAGAUGAAGGGAGAAGAGUAUUAGAAACAGAAGCUGCAAAGCAAGUUAAGGCUAAAAAUGUAGGAAAAGCACAUUUAACUUUCACUAUUUUCAGAUUGGCCACCUAGAAUUCUGAACUUUCAGUUUAACCCACUGAUCUACAAAGCAAAGUGAUAAAAACAUACUAAUGGUACACUUAAAGAAAGAGGCAGAGUGAAAAUAGCAAUAUCUAAAGGGGGGUGCCCGUAAUUUAAUCAUAAGAAAAUUCAGAAAUGAAUUAAAACAAACAAACUUUCUCAUUCUUCAAGGUAACUUUUCGUUCCCUCUCCUCCAUCUCCUUCUUGAAUGCAAGCCAUUGGCUUCUCCAUAGUUCAAUUGAGGGGAUGGAUUGCGACAGAUCAGGUAGAAAUAACACAGUGACUUCUCUAUGGCUGAAGAGUCCAUCCUUGCCAACUCGAUUAUAAUGUAUCUGCCAAAAUAGAAUUGAUUAACCAGGACAUAAUACCAGAAAAUAAUCGAUUAAUCAGGAUAUAAUACCAGUUAGACAAACUAAAAAUAAAACUCUCGUCCCUAAAUGCGAAUUCAUAAAUAUGCAGCUACAUUUUGAAAAUGAAAAAAAAAAAAAACUUCAUUUUAAGGUGGCUACAACAAAACAGUGAUUCUCUUCACAAGCAUGACAUACAGAAGGACAGCAAAUAACAUCACAAUCUUAUAUAACCAGACAAAGUAGAAUGAGAAAAAAAGCAGCUCGAGUUGCACUCUAAUGGAAAGGUAACAACAACUGCAAAAGACAAACAAAAUAACCUGAAUACACUCAUGAUGAAGCACUAUUACUGAGUUGGAAAGUCUAAAUCCCAAGUCAAAACUGAUGGGGGAAAAAAUUGUACUGAUAAAUUAAAGAAAUUAGCGUUCAAGCUUUUCAAGAAAAAAUUGAUUGUAACUAAGGUAGUCCAAAAUGCAUGAGACUUGGCUUAUCUUAUGAGUUACCAAAUCAUGCUUUCAAUACAUAUUAUGGUUAGUUCUUUAGAGGACAUGGGUUACAAAAGGAAACUCUCUCUUCUUUAUCAUGAUUUCAGAAGUAGUCAAUGAAGUAGAAGUUUACAGCAAUGAAGUCGUAGUUACCUCAACAACAUUUGACAACAAAAUUAUUGGAAGUGUGCGCAAGAAUUUAACUGAUGAAUCUCAUAUUAGAAGACGAGACAACUACGAGUACUAGUUCAGGAGUGAGCAUUAUCAUUUAAAUAUGUCGGGCCAGUGGUAACAGGUAAUUUGUAAAAAUGAUAAAGGUAAAACUCAUUUUCUUUAAUGAAAAGAUGCAGCAAAAUAUACCUCAAGGAAGCGAUUCCAAUGCUGGCAGCUGUGUAGAUCAAGCUGCGUCAGAUCCUUGACGUAUCUGUGCAAGAACAUAACUAAUUAUAAGUUCUGAAAAGAAACUAUUCUUUACAAAAGCACAAUUGAUGCAACACAUGAAAUUAUACUAUAUAUACAACACACACCUAGAAGCUGUUUGAAUCAAGCAAGAACUGUCAAUCAAGGGGUUACCGCCAUCAAUCGCAGCAUUCCAUGGCCCUCCAAUUGCCAUAAAAGAGUGAUCUUUCUUGAGAACAGCAAACUUGAGAACAUUGUUGAAGUGGAUGAUGCGUCCCUCCGUGCUCUUGUCGGAGCAUAUGUCUUCCAAUGCUUCACUGCUAAUGCCACUCAUCAAGAUUACCUGCUAGGAGAAGCUUGUAUUACAUGCUGCAUAGUUUCUGGUAAAAAUGAAUGAAGACACCCUCAGCUAUAAGCCUAUAAUAAGCCAUUUUGAAAUAGAUCCAAAAGUUUUAAUUAAUUGACACCCUUAAACUUCCUGCCCAUUUUUAAUCAAAUUAUAUGUCUUGGUUAUAUUGGAAGUUCCAUUGGCAGUGUUUUUGUUACUUGCUUAAUUGCAACAGCUCUUGUUGCCUCUCAGCUGAUGGGAUUGCAGGUUCUGUUUAGCAGUCAAUAGCUGAUAGCUAUCAGAGAAACUAAUGUUAACAGUAUACACAUCGAACUAGGGUGCGACAAUCAGAAAAAACAGCGUUAGGAAGUCUUUCAAAAUGGCCUAUAAUUGAGAGGGGCUCCAUACUAUUUUACCUAGUUUUCUUCCAUAACAGAUGAACAAAAAAAUAGAGCUAUUCAUAUUUUAUUGUUGUAACAUAUGAAAAAAGGGAUGAUCAAUUUAAGCAACUGAUCUUUUCCGGAUGAAUUAAAUUUAUAAUGGAAUAAAAUACCUACACUAAAUAAUUUACUUAAAUUCUAUACCUUGGCAUUCCAAACAGUAUCGCCGCCAUUGGGCGUUGCAGAUUUACUAGAGGAAACUAAUCCGUUUUCAUCGGCUUUCUCAUCUACUUCAACAAUGUCAUGCUCAAAACUGCUCCAGUCAAGAAAAUGCAAAACAGAAAAGUAGUAAUUUGUAAGGUUUGCUACAAGCCAUAGGUAGUAAACACCGAAUUGCAUUAGGAAACAUCAUACAACCAAAAAACAGGAAAAAAGAGAUCCCCAAAUAAUAUAUAUAUAUGUGUGUGUGUGUGUGUGUGUGUGUGUGUGUGUGUGUGUACCUCACAGGAGUAUGCAGUGAAAUAUAUAAGCUUUCCUUUGGCCAGUUCAAGACAACCUAGAAAUGAAUAAAUUUCAUAGUGAAAGAAAUGCUGAAGGUUAGUGAUUCAAAUGAUUAUUGAGAAAAUGACUUGUCAACAAUAAAAAUGGAGCCUUAUAUUACUACAGACGAAAGAUUUAAUCAUUUUGCAGUUCUUAUGAACUGAUCUUCUUGGCAUGACGAUUUGAUUAGGAUAUAAAGGACAAAAGCUAACAGAAUAAGAAACUAUCCUCACUUUUAUUGAAGUACUGACAUCUAAUCUUCCAAUAUACAUGACUUCCAAAGAACAAACAAACCAACCUUGGAAAAGUCCGGAGCUAUUGCUAGCCUGGGAUAUCGCUUGCUCAAAGAUAAGUAAUCUCUUUCAACAUCCACCAAGCAAAACGGGAAGACCUGUCAAGACCACUAUAAUUAAUACAUAUUUCAAGAAAAUACCUUGGUUAGCUAAUUCCUAAUAAAUAAGACCACCUAAUUCGUUGUAGCAACCAAUUGCAUACAGGUUACUCAUGUAAAGUUAACACAAACAAAUGAAAAGGCUAACAAAAAUGAUAAGAUAAUGUAGCACACAUCACGUAAAAAACCCUAAGGGUAGCAUCAUCUUAGGAAAGCUUAAAAGCUAGGGAGAUGAAAUCAAAUUUUCAAUAAGGGGAAAAAAGGAUAAAAAAGCUUAAUACGUGGGCACAACUGUCCAACUAUGGGAGUAAAUGUAUAUUACGGAAGCACCAUUAGGAAAGCCAAAGCGAGCUAGAAAUAAAAAGGAUGACAAACAAGAGACGUCCCUCUUUGAACACAAAUGUUCAACAAGAAAUAAUAGCCCAAGGUCAUAUACGGAGAACUUCAAAAAAGAGUGGAAGCAAAAAGGGAUUCAAGGACAUGAAUAGAAUACGAGGAAUCCAAGAAGAUGCCUGCAGCACCAAAUUUGUGAUUGACCAAGCCUAGGCUAAUACUAUCCGCGAAGACUCAUGAUAAUUUUACCUUGCAAACAUAAUCUCUCUUUUUCUCCUUAACAGGGGAACGAUGCCUUCACGAGAAUUAAAAAGUAAAACAGUUAGUUCAGAAAGCUGCACCAGUAGAUGAAGCAGCAACCUACUUGAAUCCACAGCUGAGAAAAAGAAAGAAAUCGUGAAGGGCAACCUAUGCACAGCAACAUCUCGAUGUGGCGAAACUCGACGCAAAGGUUUCUCAUCCCUUACAGAAGAAGAACCCCUACGAUCCCUAGAUGCUCUAGGUGGUGGAGUUCGUUCUCUCUUCAGAUCUGCUCCAAGCUUCCGAUCCCGUUCUCUCUCCCUAUCCCGGCGUUCCCGUUCGCGUAGCCGUUCUCUUUCCCUUUCCCUUUCUCGUUCCCGUUCCCUUUCUCUUUCCCGUUCACGUUCUCUUUCACGGUCGCGCUCUCUUUCUCGUUCCCUUUCUCUUUCACGUUCCCGCUCUCUUAUCUCGAGCUCUCGUCGAUAGGCGCUUCUAUCAUCCUUUCUGUCAUCAACCAUUGAGAGUCCAACGCUGGAAUGCGGUGCACGCGACAGAACACUACUUUGGUAGUCACGCUCGAGCGAGGGGCCACGAAGACCCUUUCCGGUGACGUAAUCCCGACCGGGGGGCAAACCCACCCCAUGUGUGUAGAUGAGGUCAUCAGCGUUUCUCCUUGGAGCUCCCCCUAACAACGAAGCUGCGUGGGCUGCACCAUAUGGCGCGCUUCCGAGUAUAGAUGUGCUACGAGGAUCAGCAUCGUAUCUUCCUCCAUACGAUUGAUCAGAUCCGUUAUGAAUCGAAGCAGUCCGCACUGCAUAGUAGUCAGCUUGUCUGUCCAGAAAUGUAUGCAAUUCUUUAUUCAGUGGACAGGAGUUGUGGGCAAAAAGAUUUCCAUAUAACAAGCCUUGAGAAGUAUAAUAGAUAUAUAUAUCAGCACUGCAACAACACCGAUUGGGAACAUUUUGCAGCAGUACACAGCAUAAAUGAUGCUUUGGAGAUAACAAUUUUCAAAGGAGGACUAAAGACAUGGUCGUUCAAAUCAAUGGAAAAGAAUAAAAGGAAAAACAGUUAGAUAGCACUUUAGCAUUUCUGAAGAUGACUUACCUUAUAUCCGAACCAGACUGCAGGGAUUGAGCUUUUAGUAUUUGUUGUUGCCGCAGUAGUGAUGUCUAUAGAAAAGUGCAACAAAGAGGUCAUUAGGAUUUCACACCACUAAGACAACAAUAAACCAGAAGGGAAAGAAUUAAACUACCUGCUCUAAGUGAUCGUGGAUCUCAGGCUGUACCAAUUAUCAAACAAUGGCAUUACAGUAUUAGUUAUAUAUAGAAGGUACAAAAUAAAGGCAAUCAAAAGGUUACAUAUACUAGGUUCAUAGACGAACCUGAUGUUGGUGGCUUAGAGAAACUGGAUCAGGGUAUCUUCGAACUGAAUCACUCGCCAAGUCUCUCCCACUAUAACUACCCUGAGCUUCAGAAUAGUGCCGUCUGUCCAACGAGGCAUAAUCAGAACUUGCCACUAAAGAAUAUUGAUCUGCCUUCUGACUAUAUCCACGGUUACUGCUAACUCCACCAACCUGUACGAAAACAAAGCUACUUCGAUAACUCCUAGGGAUGCCCAUGAAAUUGUGGAACACAUAAACUUGUCACCAUAUUACUUAAAUUAUUCCCUUUUUCCCGAAGAUAAAAUAGUAAAAUUUAUAUUGGUUCUCAUUUCUAAUAAUAUAUUUCUCAUACAAUUCCAUACCUAAUCCACAUGUCUAAUGUACUUCUAAAAGCUACUCAAUUUCAGCAUACAUCCAGGUGAGUUCUGAUAUCGGGCAUCUCGAGCCCUAAAGGUCUCAUCUUCAUUUUUUUUUUUUUUUUGGAAAUUACAAAACUAAAUCAUUAAACAUCAUGUGAGAGCAAAUAAGCGCAAAUAAAGAAUCAGGAAAGGGUUCGAACUUGUGCUGGGAUAAAGUAUGAGUAGUUGCUUGCGAUUUUAUUUUAUUCGAAUCAUACUACAAACCAAACGUAGGAAAACAAAAUAUGUUGAUUAACUAUGUUGAUUGUCCACAAAAUAAAUGCACUAAAUUACUCUAUAGAAAUAUGGAAUGAAUUUAACCGAAGUUGGUGAAAACACGGUUAGAUGGUCGCAGUAACACCUACAGUUAAAUACGACAAAAAAUGGUACAGGUAAAUCCUAAAACUGCAAACUUCCAAAUAAAAACAUCGAGAAAAAAGACCUGCUGAGCACUGCUCAAGGAAGACGAUCCAUAAACGGAGGCAUAAGGCCCUCCAUACUGUGAUGCUUGCGAACUAUGGCUUCUAUAUCCGCCAAUAUCUGCUUCUUGAGCGGCACUAAGACCUACCUGCCGAGCAUCGGGGCCGCCAACCCCAUAAACGCUACCAGGCUGUGUACAACAAUGAGAAAUCAAUGCCAAACAAACAUUAGAGGCUAAUCUUUAACCAAAAAGGGAGCAAAGAUUGAGAUCUUACGACCUGUCCAUACGCCUGUUGCGCUGAAUAUGGUUGUUGGCUGUAAGGGUUCCCACCCUUCGACGGGUACAUAUCUUAUUUCUAACCACAAAAAAUAGCACAUUUCAUCAUCGUCGCGCACAGAAACAAUGUUCGGAUGAUUAUAAACGCAAGUAAGAAUAAUCCUGAUCGAAAUUUAGCAAAACCCUGCACAAACCUUUAAUUGUUCUAUAAUCAAUACAAAUAAUGAUGAAUCGCAACCCUAAUUGCGAGGAAAAAGAUUAGACAUACGAGAUCGCUCCGAAACCAAGUAAAGAUCUACUAGGUUGCACGAUCAUGAGAUUUGUACCUUCGCGGAGAUCGCAGCGUGAGGUGGAUCACGUCGAUCGCAAGAGAGAGGAAAGGAGAGGAAGCGGCGAUGAGGUAAUGGAUGAGGAGGGAGGUGAAGGAGACGAGGGUUUUGGUUAGGAGUCGAUCGAUGCGAAUUUUGAGGGUUUCCGGUGGGUUCCAGUGUGAUCGAAUCUGAGCGAGAUGGUAGCAUAUAUAGAAAGAAGUCGCACGAAUCGUAAGGCAGUGAUCGUCCGCUUGAUUGGCUUCUGACGUUACAUGUAGGCUCGGGUCAAAUUGGGUUCCAUCAAGAAGCCGUUGUUAGGUCCGAGUCCGACCCAAUUAUCGAGUUCGCAGGAACGAGCUAAGCCAUUUUAUCAAUUAAUAAUUAAUAAUUUAAUAUCUGACUAAGUUUUUUUUAAAAAUGGUAAUGCGGUACUUAUUUUACACAGUUAUAUAGUAUUAAAUUAGUAUACUGUGUUAUAUAGAAUAUAGAAUAGUAUUUGAGACACAAGGUUGAAAAUUUUGCACUCUUUGGAGGAGACAAAUUAAAUGAUUCAUGCGACAAUUGCAUUGAAGGAAGUAAAAUGCUGUUGUUUCUCAUCACAUUAUUCCCAUGAAUUCGUUGAAAAGUUAAAAACUAAUAAAGCAUGCUAUCUUCGCUGUAUUCAAAGGUUCCUUAGCACGAAAUCGGCUUUCUUAAAUAAAUGGCUACAUUUAAAAAAAAAAAAUAACACAAUUCAAUUCAAACUCGUAAUUUAUGUGAUGUAUCUUGCAUACACACAACUUAUUUUCUCAGAUAUUAAGCCUUUAAGUUUCUAAACCAUUUCCCGUAUCUUCUUCGUCCUCUCUCUCUCUCUCUCAUGUUCACACCAUUGUUCAUGGCCGCCGCACUCCUAUUAGGCGCGGUCGAUGUGGAGAAAGCGGCUCAUGUUCCGGCGAUGUUCGUGUUCGGAGACUCUUUAACUGAUCCGGGAAACAAUAACAAUCUGGUGACCCUCGCGAAAGCCAAUUAUUAUCCAAAUGGUAUUGAUUUCCCCUACGCAGCUACAGGAAGGUACUGCAAUGGUGGAACGAUGGCUGAUCAUUUAGGUAAUUAAUAAAAAUGAGAUAUGGCCCAUUUAAUCAGCAUAUAAACUAGAUUAGAGUUUAUCUAAUUAAUGUUCUUAACUUCGGAAAGUUUUGGGCUUUUAGUCCAGUUCCUUUUUUGCAAUUUCGUCAAAACCCAAGCCCACGACGAGCCCGAUACAAAAGGGUCCAAAAAUGGUUGCGACAGUUGGGCCGUUUAUUCAAAUUGGAGAGCUUACUUUAACAAAAUUGCAUUAAAAUCCCUCCAAUAACUUAAUUGUAAGAGAAGUAGAAUCUUUACUAAUGAAUGCGGAAACAAAAUCAAAAUCAAACAUGUAUUAAAUAUUAAGUUUAUCAAGACAAUGUUGUUUUUUUUUCUGCUUCAUAUUUCGAUUUCAAAUGCAGGUGCUCUUCUUGGGCUACCGCUAAUUCCUCCCUUCACUAACCCCGGCACAACUGGUUCUAACAUUCUAAAAGGAGUAAAUUUCGCAUCAGCUGCUUCUGGUAUCCUUAGUGACACUGGAUUGCUCUAUGUGAGUCCUUAACAUCCAUUUCUUCAAAACUUUGGACGCAUUUGUGCUUCUCUACGGAAAAUUUUGCAGAAGCACUAAUUGAAUAGAGUUAACGGACUAUGCAUUAACAUUUUUCUUUUGAGUAAAACUGAGUUUCUUGUCCUCAAUAAGAUCGCGACUAUUUGUUGUCACAGCAAGUGCUUUAGCUCUUUUGUUUGUACACCUUCUAUUGCUUCUUGAUGUAAACAAGCUGCUCUAGAAGCUUGCUAAAUAGGUACUUUAAUUGUAGCUCCAUAUAUCUUGCACCAUAUAUUUUUUUUCCAGCUAAGAUCCUCACUUUGGUUUGUUCUUAGGGGGACCUCUUUACUAUGGAUGAACAAGUGAGAAACUACAAAGAAACAGUGCAAAAUUUGAACCUACUGUUACAAAAUGGGACAGGAGAGUUUCUAAGGAGAUCUCUCUUUUUCAUUUGCAUAGGAGCUAAUGACUACAUCAAUAACUAUUUGCUUCCAUUCUCAGACAAGUCCAAAACGCAUACUCCAAGUGCUUAUGCUCAGCUACUUGUUCAAGAGUACACCAGGCAAAUCAUGGUACUUUGUUUUAAUAUUCAUUUAUCACAUAAGAAUUAUGAAGUUAAACAUCGAUCCAAUUAUAGAUAUUUUCUUGAAUGGGUUAUCAAAUUCUCUCGACAUUGAUUAGGAUUUGUAUGAGCUGGGAGCGAGGAGAUUUUUGAUCGGCGGAGUUCCUCCGAUCGGGUGCACUCCGAACCAAAUAGCAAAUUCGGGGAACGACAUAGGCUCGUGUGUUAAUUCUACAAAUUGGUUAGUCAUGCGGUUCAAUAACGAAGUUAAAAUGAUGGUUCGAGAGCUAAAUACAAACCUUCGAGGGUCACACUUCCUCUUUUGGGACACAUAUGACAUAUUCUUUCACAUCAUAAAAAAUUCCUCACAUUUUGGUAAUCCUCUCCUACACAACUUACUAAUCGAUUUGGAUGUGUUAUUUUUUGCUGCAAAUUCGAUUUCCUCCUUUCAUCACUCUCCCUUUUGAUUUAUUAUUGUUAUUAUUACAAAAUUGUAGGGUUUAAGUAUACAAACAAAGCAUGUUGUGGGGGAGGGCGAUCGAAGGGCCAAAUAAUAUGCUUGCCCAUUUUGCCUCUUCAGUGUCGGAACCGAUCGGAGUUUGUGUUUUGGGAUCCAUAUCAUCCUACCGAUGCUUUCAAUGCUAUCGCGGUCAAGUAUUCAUUCUCACAAAAAUUCCGAACCUCAUUCCCUUCGAAUACACAACAACUUAUUCAAACUUUAAAGGUAUAAAAGAGAAACCUAUGAAUAGUUAAUUAGGGCGAAAGCCAAAGUAACAGAGUAAAUCUAGGUCGAUGUUGCAGAUAUGUUCCAUCUAAGUUUAAUAUUGUUGUUUCUCCUUUUAUUUAUUGAGGCAUAUAUAUAUAUAUAUAUAUAUAUAUAUAUAUAUAUAUAUAGCGUACAUAAUCAAUAACAAUAAAUAAACAAAACCUACUCACACUCUAGUUGCAUGCUUGUAUCUCGAUUGGAAUUAAUUUAUCGGCAUGCAGUUGUUUUUACUGUUUAGAUGGGUGGGAGUUGUUGCAUCUACUUAAGCUUGGCGGUUUAAAAUAACAUGCAUGAUCGUAUUCAACGCUCAUAACGGAAAUCUUAUGUAAUUAUCUUAAAAAUUAUUGAUGUGUCAGCAUUGGCGUGUAAUACAUAUUAAUAAUUAGUUCAAGGUGUCGAGUACAUUACUUUUUCUUUGUUAAAUUAUAUGAAAUUAUUAUUAUUUUCUAAAAAUUUAAAGUGUGAAAGAAUGGUAUUUUCAGUAUUUAUAUUUAUCUGAAAAUAAACUUUUAAAUUAAAUAAAAAAAUAAAUAAUAUUAGGAGUUUAAUUGAACUCAAAUAUAGAAUCUCCUAAUACUGUAUUAAAUAAUAUGAAAUAAUUAUUACACUCUUGGAAUCUUUAAUGAUGAGAGAACUGAUGUUUUUUAAAUAAUUAUUUUCAACACUCUUUUAUUGGGUCACGUGCACACUGGCUUUUUUGUCACCUAUUCUCCAAAGUUCUUGUAGGCUAUCAUGUAGCAAGCUAUUCACUGCAGCUCUGGCAAAACUAAGGUACCUCUCCCCCUACCGAUUUUAUUGAUGCAUGCAUGCAUCAUCUUUUUACGAGCACCUUUAUUACCCUUUAACAUAAAUAAAUAAAUAAAUAAAUAUAUAUAUAUAUAUAUAUAAAAUUGAGCUUCUAUGCUUUUAAAAGUACCAAGUCAUUGGUGCUUGUAAGUUUUCGGCCCUUGGAUUAAAGGAUGUGCGGUUAGGAUGAUAUGGGCCCCCUAGGGUUGAGUGGGUGGUUGGUUUAAUAGUAUAAUCUAACAGGUAAAAAUAAUCAAAAACAGAGAUCUAACGGUAAAAAAUUUACAAGCACCAAGUACUUGGUACUUUUAAAAGUACCAUAGCCGGAUUCUAUAUAUAUAUAUAUAUAUAUAUAUAUAUAUAUAUAUAUAUAAUUGGAAACAAAGGAUUAAAAAAGCCACGGAGAAGUGAGAUGAACACAAAAUUCUUGUGUGUUAGGACUUAUUUUUCGUAUCUUGUGAGUUUGAUUGGUUUGUUGGAUUAUUAAUUGAGAAAAAUUGAACAAUUAUUAGGAGUUAGGGUUUGAAACUUGAUUAAUAUGGAUUAAUUAACUUUUUUAAAACAAUUCUAAAAAGUGGAAAUUUGUAAGUUUGCGCUUAUCAAAUAUUCAAUAUUUAGCUGCGGCAGAAAGAAUAAAAUGAAUUGUCGAGAAUUAUUUUCUGACCGAAGAAAUAGCAUAUUGGAAUCAUUCGGGCAAAAUCAAAAGUUGCAAAUGGGACACUUUGAUUUUAAGACUUAGAUUUGUAUACCGUUAUAGUAGAAGUUCCAAAAUUUACUGGCAAUUUUACUAGUAAUAACAAAAAAAAAAAGUAGAUCUAAGUAGUAGCAGGAGCAAAAGGACAUCACACAUCAAUAUAUUUCGAUAUAUAGUACAAAAAAAUGCAUUUUCAACUUCUAAACGCAUAUGUAGUGAUAUAAGUAGUAUAUCAUCAGUGUCUUUGUAAAUAAAAAGCUAUGCAAUCUACACACCGUUAAGCUAGAGGUAUACUUUACAUCACAUCCAUCUUAGCUACUAUUUUUUAUUUGUCGUAUCAAAAUUUUUAUAAAAAAAAACUAAAAAUCUAGUUGGUCUUUUAUAAAUCCUUGAAUGGAAGAAGGGUUGUAGAAUUUAGGAAAAAAUUGAUUGGUGAAAUAAAAUAAUAACCUAAUUUGGUACAUGUGAGAAAACACUUUCUUAAGAAAUACCUAAGAAAGGUUGGUGGCUUUGAUGUUUCAAAUCCAGAGGUGUCACAUGGUGUAUGUACUUAAUUGAGUGGUGUGCAUGCCUUAUAUAUAUUCCUGUAGAGAUGAUUCUCUUGAUUUUAGCUCCUCAAAAGGGACAACCUGGAUCACCUGGGGUGGUGAAUCAUGGCACUAGUGUUUUUUAUAAAGGAGAAGCACUUUGGGCUAUGUUGGACCCAACAUGGCUUAUUUCCUCAGGCCAAUGAUCAGGCCAUGGCAAAGUUGUAAUACAGUAGUAACUUGUGCACAAACAACAUAGCUUAUGAAGCCUAGCUACUUCAAUUAGUGAGCCAUACCACAUUAAUAUUACACAUAUUACCGGCCGUCCCUAAAACAAGUGGCAAAUGGCUCGAUGGUUGGUACCUGAGGCCCAACUUCAAAUCCUAGUUGAUUCACAUUUCUAGUUAAGUUUAUUUCUAAAUGAAGUAAACGAAGUGGAUAGCAUGCUACCUAUCUCUCAAAAAAAUAUUACACAUAUUUCAUAACAAAUUUUUCUGAGAGAAACGUAACAAGCGAAGUUAACCGCUUUAUUUAAAAAUAAACUCAGCAAAAAACGUGAAGCAACCACUUUUGAACUUGGAAUCUCAAAUGCCAAUUAUAAUGCUUUUAGCCAACGAGUAGGGUUACUAUACUUUUAUGAGUAUAGAGUCCUUUGUACUUCUAAGUUGUUCUUAAUGAUGGAGCUUCUAAAUCGACGAUCCAUUCCGUUAAAUAUAAGCUAGAGUAUUUGCAACUUUAAAACAAUAAAUUUCGUAAUUUUUUAAAAUUAUAAUAAUUAAAGUCCGUCAAAUAGGUAUAAAAUGAACAGUCAAAAUCGAACGACGUCCUAAAAAUGGAUGAUCGGAUCCUUCAAUUUAUGAUCGGAGUUAUUAAUCUUUAUCUAGAUAAUGAAUUUAAUUUUCUAUCAAAAAUUCAAUCUAUUUCAAUUCUUUUAUACCGUUAAAGUAGCAAGUAUCCCAUAUUAACCGUUAAAAAUUGCCAACUUUAUGACCUUUUGAUUGUAAGGUAAAUGAUGUCGAAAAAUUAUAAAAUUUGAUUUCUGAAAAUUUUAAAUACUUUAGAUAUUAUUUAACGGUAUGAAUCGUCAAUUCAAAAACUCUACCACCGAAAACGACUUAUGAGUACGAAAAUAUUCGUACUCUUAUACUCAUAAGAGUACAAUAACCGGACUCUUAGCCAACUAUGUUAAGUGCGGUUAUUUCAUAACAACUAGUAAAUAUAUAUGUAUACUCUCUUUAAUUUUUUGUAAUGGCUUUCUCUAUCACUUUAUUUGGUUACGCUGGAGAAAAUUGAUUAUUUUGCAAGACGGGUGGCGCGCGUGCCAUUAUAUAUUACCCGUCAUAGUUUAACUCAAAUUCAAACAACUUGUCUGGUUUAGCAAGAUUAGCUUCUGUGAAAAUAAUUUUUGUGCGUUUUUUUUUUUUUGAAAAAUCGUCAAUAACUUUUUAAUUCGAAUAUAUUUAUAGCUUCUUGUCGUAGUAGAAAUUAGUUUUGCGUGCCAAAAUCUCACCUUGAGCUUCUCACCGUAGAAAAACUCUUCAACUUUUUUUAAAAAUCGUUGCAAUAAAUGUCUAGCAAAACCUUAAAAUGGCUCUUCCAAACGAAGUGGGUAGCAUCUCUCAAUAAAAAAAAAGAAAAAUUGAAGCGGCCAGCAUGCUACUAAUCUCUCAAAAAAAAAAAAACAUGUACGCAAUAACGUAGACCUAAUGAGUAGUAAAUAUAACUAGCUAAUAGUGUAAAGAUAUGAAUAGUAUCGUUAACAAAGUUAUUUUUAUUAUGCACAAUUAAAUUAAAUUCAUUAAAAACACACGGGUCUAGUAUUAAGAGCCGUGUAAAGCUUCUGAAUUGAAAGAAUUUGGUAUCGAACCAUAUAAAAAUAUAUCUCUCUACUUGUUUUUAGCUAAACUGGUACAAUUAAUAUAAGUGAUAUAUGUUGCCAUUUUGGAAAGAGAAAAACAUUCAAAAUUUAUCUGAAUAAUACAUUAUUUUCACUGCAAUAAAAUUAAAUUAUAAGGAUAUAUUUUUGGAAUACUUUUAUGUAAGUGUCUCAUUUAUAUCAAAUAUUUUUUAAAAAAUUUACUAAGAUCUAAAUAUAAAAUGCAAUCCAAUCGACAAUAAAAAGUUUCUUUACUCAACCAACCCCACUCGACCCGAUAACAAAUAGAAUAGAAAAAAAAUAUUAUCAUCAUCUCCCCCUCUCUUCCUCCGUCAUCACAGCUGACGAGGUAGGAUUCCGACGGUUAGAGUUCGGCCACAAGAACCUCACAGGACCGUAGAGGGCUACGAUCGCGACGUAUCCCUCAGCCACAGAUCGCUACAGGAGGAGUCGGUGUCCAACAUCAAGACGGCCCUACAUAUAGUGACCCCAUAUAUAUAUAACAACACUUUUAACUUUUUUUUUAACAUGUACCGAUAUUUAAAUGUCGCUAUAAAUACACCGUUUUUGUUGUAGUGUUUCAAAAUUUUAAUUUUGUUAAUCAACUCUUUUUUAUACAUAUUAAAGUCAAAGUAUCGUUGAUUGGCUUAAAUCGAACAUGCUGAAAGAUUGGAUAGUAAAAUUAAAAAAUUUUAAAAAAAUAAAUAAUUAAAUUAAAAUAAUUCAUAAUUUAAAUAACUUUUUAUCUUUUACGUUUUAGAAAAUAAACAAAAUUACUUUCCAAUCGUUGCUCUUCCACCGGGAGAGUAUCAAAGCUAUGUCCUCGAUCACCAUCAGUAAAUAAAAGGUACAUCACCGACUGUCCCUAUAACAAGUGGCAAAGAAUUUGGUGGUUGGUAUCUAGGGUCCCAAGUUCGAAUCCUAAUUGAUUCAUAUUUUUAGCUAAAUUUAUUUUAAAAUAAAAUAAAAAACGAAACAGAUAGUGUGUGAAACAACCGUUGUACUCUAUAAACUUAAGCUUUUAGAGUACAACGGUUGUUUCACAUGGUAUCAGAUCCAGAGGUCACGGGUUCGAUUCCUGUAUGCUGUAAAUGUGUACAGGUGCUGGAGGGGGGAUUGUUGGCUUAAAUGGGCCAGCAUCCUGCCCUGUGGCGGAAGGCCAUGUGGGCCGAGUCAUGUUCGAAAUGGCGUGAGGCUGGGUUGGGCCGAGUCAUGUUCGAAGUGGCGUGAGGCCAGGUGAGCCGAGUUAUAAUCGAGACUUUUUAAUCGGCUCAUGACGUGGGCUUGAAUUAAAUAGAAGGAAAUUAAUAUACUAGGAGCCUGUCGUGACUCGAACUCAGUACUUCUUACUCUGAUACGAUGUGAAAUAACUGUUGUACUCUAAAAAGCUUAAACUUUUAGAGUACAUCUCUCUUCUGAUACAUCGCAUCUUAAAGUUAAUGGGUGGUUGGUGAAAAGCUGAUCUUGCGCAACGCGAAAAAGCGAAAACACGUGACUACCCGAUAGCCAUGUUACUGUACGAGGUUCGGCUUUUGCGGAAACCGACUCUACUGCUUCUUGGAAAAGCAGAAUAGGUGCGUGGUAGGGUAGGGCUUUAACUUGGCUUCUUGCAUGCGACCUGCUUGACGCGAGGCCUAGCUGUGUAUAUUAUUUUUUUCGAGAGAGAUACGUAGCACACGUUACUCGUUUCAUUAAUUUUAUUUAAAAAUAAAUUUAACUGAAAAUGUAAAUUAACUAGGAUUCGAAUUCGGGUCUCAAAUACCAACCACUAAACUCUUUGCCAUUUGCUCUAGAGACGGUCGGUAGCUGUGUAUAUUAUUGAGCUUAAUUAAUUAGCAUAUAUAUAAGUUGGCGGUGCAAUGGUGCAUGCCCAACGCGAUUAUUUUUCAUAACCACGUUGAAAAUGGUGACAUAAAUUAAAAAACAUUGGCCGUGAAUGCAUUGAACCACUUACGAUUCAUUUUUAAUUUAAGCUAUAUUGUUCUAUUCUCCAAACAUGAAGUACAAAAUCACGUUUACGGCAUGCGCGUUUUACUGUAAGGUAUUUGGAAACUCGUUUGAUCGCAAAUGACCGAUUAGUGCAUUGUGUCGCAUUAAACAUAUUCGGCCCAUUUUAUUCAUAUUCAUUAAUUCUCCCUGAAAGAGGAGAUAACUAUGAUUCUAAUAACCAUCAUCCUAAUAUAAUUCUCUAAAAUUUGGUGUUUUAAUUUUACUCUUAGUGCUUCACUGUAGCAACUUAGUCUGUAAAGCUUGAGUAUGUACAAUCUUAAUUAAUUUCAUAAUUGCGUUUUUUUAAAAUUUUAAUACCGAAAAUAGCCUUUCUUUUACUUCUUUUCUAAAUUAAGUUUGGCCUUGAAUUUAGUUUCAUUCUUAGAUACUUUGGGUCCCCUGAAAAAGUGUAAUAAUGAUGUUGAACUAACAUUUUGUAGAUUAAUUAAAGGGCUUAAUUUUUACAUGCAAUAACCUUCAUGCGGUAAACUAUUUAAAAUUGAAACUACGAUAAUAAAUUUAAGAUCUAAACCAAACUUUAGGGACCAAAUUUAUACCGUGGUGGCGCAAUAACCCCAAUAAUGGCUUUGUUCAGUUAAAAGGCGACGGUAAUCAGAAAAUGUUUGGACAAAAUACUGUAUAUCGAUAAAUUUGAUUUACAUCCAAUGAACAUUACUCGAUAGCUUUUUGAAUUUGUAUUCUAUAAUUUAGCGCAGAAUAACGAUCACUCAACACCGCUACAGCAAUUAACGAUCGGAAAGCUUGGGCGACCAAAAGGUCUCUUUGAUGUGAUUUCUCUUCAAGGCUAGGUGUUCGUGGAAACAUCAAUGAAUGAGAGUGGUGGGGGUCGUAAUGAGGUGGGGCAUGGAACAAAUUAAUUGUGAGAGGUGAUGGCAAUAAGAGACGCUCUCCAAUUUUUGAACCAAAGAAAUUCAGCACGAAUAUUGAGGCAGUACCCCCACCUUGUUGGCUUGUCGAUGAACCGCUCAAAAUACAAACUCCUCACCGCACUAUACUCUGUGGCUGCUUAUCUUUAUUCUAAAGUGGUGUGAUCUGGAAGAUAAACUUGUCACAAUGUUAGGCCUCCAUUUGCAGCUCGCCUAUAAAGUACAGUGUUGUUGGAUAAAGUACUGUAAUAUGCAAAGCACUACAUGUCGAAUGCGGUGUUAUCUUAAUUAAAUUGAAGUUACAAAGGCCUAUUUGGUCCGGUUUAAUCGAUCACUCUGUAUUGUCGGCCCCAACUAUAGAAGUGAGUAAUUUGACGGCGCGCUUUUAGCACAACUUGCAAGUAUAGACUUUAAUUGCUUUGAGUAGCUUCCCAGAGAAGCUUUUUGUCACUGCAGCACGAUGCGUGCCACACCAUGUAGGGUUGUAAAUUCAGGCCAAUGGCUCUAUAUUAUUUGACUGACUCUAUACAGAAAUAUUAUGUAGCAAUAAAAACUGUUUAACAAAUUCUUUCGUAGAAAUACUUUAAUUUUCUCUGAUGCGUAGCAAUCUAAAACAAAUUACCUGUCUUUUUUGUUACUUAGCAAAAUUUCUACGGGCGUGAAAAAUAGAAAGAAAAAUGGUUCUUUAACUUGCAUCCCAAAAUAUAUAUUGAAAUUUUUUAAUUUGGUUACACAAAUGACUAGUUUUUUUUUAAGAGAAAAAUAGCAAACUAUAUGUCUCGAGUACCAGCCACCAAGUUCUUUAUCAACUGUACUAUAUAUGAUUAGUCGCGUACCCCUAGUUGCUUUUAAAUUUUGAAUCAUUAUGAUCAAAUCAAUUCAAUCUCACAUCGACGACAACGAUGGAAAACGAAAAGAUCAUGGCCUUAGUCGUGGUGAUGAUUAUAUACACAACAUCAGCUUAUGCGCGCCGUGGGUGUGGCCACGAGCGUUGUAGGCUCAACUCACGAAUUGUCCACACAUCAUGAGUUUUGAACUAAUAAUUGGGGACCAUGCACUAUUAAUGGAGGAUUCUUAAGCACCUCUCUCUCUCUCUCUCUCUCUCCCUCUCUCUCUCUCUCUCUUUCUAUAUAGGUGACAAUUCAGUUUUGUGCCUCGGUUUACACGUUUUGUUUAAAAUUGUAUCACUUGAUUCCAAACUUAAAUAAACAUACAUGUAAUUCGCUUGUUAUUAUGCGUUUUCACUUUUGGAUUAAUUUUGCAUUGCACUCGUUUGUUAUUAUGCGAUUUCAUUUUCAGGUUAUGGAUUCACGUGGAUUCUAGCUAUUUUAAUUCCUUACGACAAUCUAAUAAUGGUGGUUGGAUUGUACCAUCAUACCGCAUAGUUGUUCUUCACGUUUUUAGAUUUAGGCAACUUCCAAAGUAUUAUUGAUACACUAACAGUGUUUUGUAGUACGUGAGAAAGUAAUCUUAUUAUAUUAUCAUCUAUACUUUUGAAGACACCCGUAAUGUCGUUUUUAGGAAAAUGUGAAAAGUUAGUAAUAUUCUGAACAUCAAUAUUUAGUUAUGUACUCACAGGAAUAAGCUAUAUAUGGAUCUCUACCUCUAACUAUAAAAACUUGAAGAGGAGAGGAAAUAUGAAAGGUACCAUGCAUUUUAUAAAUGUGACAUCAUAUAUUUGGUAGAACUAUAUAUGGUGAUAAAUUAAAAAGAAGGCCUUAAUGGUCUGCAUGUCUCUACUUCUACAAUUACUCUAGUAGGUGCCCUUCGUACGUAUUCAAUCUCCUAACCAACAAUAAAAAAAUAAUAAUAAUAAUAAUUACCUAUAUAUUCCUCAAAAUUUUAAAAAUACCGCAUUUAUCUUUACUAUUUUGUUCUUUCCAAUAUAAUCCUCAUAUAUUCCUCCGUUAUUUCAAAAUAUCCCUACAGUUACUAUCCGUUAAGUUUAUUUGGGUUAAAAGUGAGUUAAAUAUCUACUAAAAUUUUAAAAAAUCAAAAUAGCUCUUUUGCUCUUAACUUAAGGACAAAUAAGAAAUUUUGGUAAUGGUGGAAGGGUAUAUUUGAAAGGGCAAAAUAGUAAUUUUAUAUAAAUAACAACUAUUGCAAACUGUUUAUUAACAGAAUUUAGUUUAACUCUAUAGAUAUAUUUGAAAUAGUUGGAACGUAAAAAAUGUAUUUUUAAUAUUAACCUUCUAAGAAAAUAACUCAGAAAGCCGAUAAUUUUUCAGGAAUAUAUAAGCAAUUGCCCAUAAUUAAAAAAAUGUCUAAAUUGGCACCAUGCCACAUUUUUAAUACACUAGGACAAAUAAUAAUAAUAAUAAUAAUAAUAAUGCUAGUAAUAGUAACAAAAACCUCGAUUCAAAUUCUCAAACUUUUUAAAUCACCUCAAUAUAUUACAUGUGGUAAGUGCUUGUUUAUUUCUAUUUUUUGCUUCCGGUGUGCUGAAUUAAGGGAGGGAAAACAAACUUAUUCUACUGAAACAAAAGGCAAAUAAUAUGAUUUUAAAUCUUAAGUUCACACUACAACAAAAACGGUCUAUAUCGAUACUUUUAAAUGUAGGUAUAUGUCAAAAAAGUGCUGCUAGCUAAAAUUACUGAUACUUUUAAAAAGUGUUGCUAUAUGUGGAGUCGCUAGGUAUAUAGUGACAGUUAAAGAGCGUCGCUAUAACCUAAAAGAGUGCUGCUAAUUUACCAACACUUGUUUAAGCAUUUAGCAACCGCCGAAACUCUAUCUCGUUGGCUGUGGUGGCGGAGGAGGACGACAGUAAAGACUCUUCGUCUAGAAUUUCAGUGGAUUGAGUGAAGAGAGAAGAAAAGAUGGUAAUUAAUUUUUCUUUUUUUUUUCUUUUCUGUUUGUAAUCGGGCCAAAUAGACUAGGUAUGGUGGGUUGAGUAGAGUAAUCUUUUAUUUUUGGUUGGAUUGGGCUUUAUAUUUAGCCAUUAGUAGAUGUGUUUUUAAGUUUUAGCAUAAAUGGGACACUUACUCAAAAGUGUCUCAAACAUGUGUCCCUAUAACCUAAUUCUGUUGUAGUGUCAGAUUUUGUCGGAUCAUUGGCGCUAAUCACUAAUUUCACAAGUUCGAGCUGCUAAAAAUAUAUAACUUAUUUACUUAAAACGUACAGAUACAACGUUCACGGAUCUCGAUUAUAACUCGAUCCAACCAACCUCUUACCACUUCGACCUGACCUCCUGUCAUUUCAAACGUGACCUGACUCAAUCUGACUUAUCGUGAAAAAACAAGAUGCUAUCCCUUUUAAGCUGACAGUGCUGCAAUUCAGAAAGAAACUGUUGAUAUAUAUUGAGCGCGACUAGCUCGUCAUCUUCGUACUCGUCUUCUAAUCAUCUAACUCAUUAGCAAAGAGAGUAAAUUUUGAAUCGAGAAAAUGCCACCAACGGGCCCUAAUUGGCAUGCAAAUUGUUGUAGAUUUAAAUUUGGGAAUACACCUUAAUUAUCUGGUGCACCAACGCUUCUGUCCUAAUAGAAAAGGAUAAAAAUAAUAAAUAUAAAAAAACAAGAGUGUAAGAUGAGGUGCACAGCAUCUUACGGCCUCGGUGCAAUGAUGACGUGGUGCACCAGGCCCAGCUAACAAUUGCCUCACACCGUGUUGUUCUGCACUGCGGCGGUUCAUGCAUCGUCAAAGGGGACCUGUACUUGGCGUGGUGCACGAGGUGGCAAAUUGGCACGUGUGAACCCGGCCAAGCACGUGAACGAGUGCAUAUUUAUUUAUUGUUUUAUAAAAAUAUAUAUUUAUUUUAAAUAUUAAAAUUAUUUAACAAAAUAACUAAACUUUAUUUUAUUAAUAAAUUGCGUACAAACUUUAACUUAAUUAAAAAAAAAGUUAAUUUUAUACAUAUCCUUAUAAAUAUAGUGAAUGACAAAUAUACUCUUAUAAGCUCAACUUUUAUAUAUUAUCAUUACAAAAAUUCUAGUAUUUUCAAAUAUAUCUCUCUGAUUUUUUAUCGUUAGAUAAUCGUUAAUAUUUUCAAUUUUACCAUCACAAAUAUGUUCCUUAAAAAAUUAUAACACUAUAAUAUUAGAAAAUAAAAAUAUCAAAAAUUAAUCAAAAUUAAAUAUUUAAUCUAUAAUUAACUAAAAUUUUAUAACGAAUUCUAACAAUAAGAAUGCAUUUAAAAAUAUUUAAAUUUUUAUAAAAAUAAUAUAUACAAAUUAAACUUUAUAAAACUAUAUUCGUUAUUCAAUAUAUCCAAACAGAGAUAUGUUAAAAAAAACCACCAUAUGAUGCGCACGUAACACGCGGGGACAACGUUUCCUUCCUGUACACUUGUGUACCUUCCGUGCUUCGCGGCUUCGAUUUUCGAGCCUCGUGGAGCCAAUUUGCUGUAGUCACUUUAAAAAAUUAUGUAUUUAAUUUCAAACAAAUAUUUAAUUUAAAUAUUUUGUAUUUUAAACGUGCUAUAAAAAGAUAUAUCUCGGCCUAUUAAUUUUUGCUUUAUGUGUUAUGUGUUAUUUUUAUUACAUUUAGCUGUGGAUAAUAAUAUGAAAAAUAACAAAGUUGCUAUUCCUAAAACGGAAAUUAGCUUCCUUUGCUUAAUUUCAAAUAAUUAUGUUUGCGAUACAGUAAAUAAAUCGAGUAACAUAUAUAAACACCAUUAAAUGUGAGAGUCAAAUAUUUGAUCAGCAAAAGUUUAAAGUGUUUUCAAAUUUUUUUUGGUUUGAACGGAGUUUGAAGACAUAUGUGCCAUCUAAAUGGAGUUUUAUUUUGAAUCUUUUCAUUAAAUUAGUAACAAAAUUAGACAUUUCAAAUUGAUUUUUUUUAAAAAAAAUUUUUUGGUUGGAUUGGAGCUCAACUCGGAUUUUCACUUUCAUCUUUAGAGUUUCAAUCGUAACCAUUUAGUUGCCCAAUUAUUUUAAUUUAUAGGGUAAAAAGCAUUAAAAAAAAAAAACUGAUGUAGUACUUCGUUCCCUAAACUUUUAUUUGAUUUCAAUUUGUCAAUCCUUAUAAGACACAAAAUUGGUAACUAGUCUAAAAAAUAUUUUAUUUAAGACAUUAAAAAAACUGGAUUAAAGCACUUUGUCGACCUUUCAAUCAUUGCUUUAGUCAGAUAAUCAAUAGAAGCUAAUAAAUCCCUGUUAAAAAUUCUCUCUAAUAAGGUGGAAUAUCAUUUAAAACCUCUUAUAGAGUAAUUGUAUAAUACAAUAUAUGGAGUAGGGCUACUGUGCUAUUAGGAGUACAAUAGUUUUUGUGCUUCUAACUUUUUAACCACCCAUCAAUUUUGAUGAGUGGUUAGGAUGAGAAAGAAAAGAAAAAUUUAAAAGAAACAGGGUGUCUUAACUUCUCUUCUUUUGGAAUUUCUCUCUAAUAUCUCUUUUCUCUCACAUCUUAACCACUUAUCAAAAUUGAUGGGCGAUUACAAAGUUAGGAACACAAGGAGCUGUACUUCUAAUAGCAUAGUAGCCCUGCUCUAAUAUAUGAUUGGUAAAUUUCAACUUCACAAAAAUAAGCAAAUUCAGAGAUUCAAAGAUUUGACGAUUUGAGCAUUUUUUUCUGUUAUAAUAAAUUUUCAUUUUUUUUUUCCAAAAUAUGUUUAUUAUUUAUAAAUUUUUUUAAAAAAAAUUCAAAUACUAUUUUGCAAAUACAAAUACUAUAUAAGGGGUCGUUUGGUUUGAUAUAAUUAUAAAUGCAGUGUAAUUGAAUAUGCAUACCGUUGGAAACAUAACAAUAACAACUACAUGCAUCAUGUUUGGUUGAAUUAAUAAAAAGCGCUACAACUAUAAAUAAUUUGUUUGGUUGCAUGCAGUUGAGAAAUAAUUUUUAAAAUUUUAUCAUUUUAUAUAUAUGAUGGUGAGAUUACCUCCAAUGUAAAAAAAAAAAAAAAAAAUUUAAAAAAUAUUUAAAGAGGUAAGGUUAUAUUUUGUUUAAAGUUACUCUCUCCUGCUGCUGCAGUUGGGAUUGCGGCCAAUUUGGGUAUAAUUCCAACUGCUGCAGUUGGACCUCCUCUUGUGGUUUUUACUGCGGCAGUUGAGUUAAGUAUAUUAAAUCAAAUACCAAAUUUAUAUUUUUAUACCGUUAUAAUUGCCGUACAAUUAAAACGAUAUACAACCAAACGCCCCUAAAUAAAAAUAGUGCAAUACAUUGUAUUUACAGUUAAACACUGACACGAAGUAAAAUGAGUGCACGUUCACAAAGUGUCGCCUGCUGUCACGUAUCGUCACUAUCGACCAUUAAUUAAUUGCAGGUACGUAGCACAUUACUAAAAUUAUAUAUUUUUUUCUAAACAAAGCAUCUCUUGUGAUAGUAAAUUAGUAAUAAAGUAUGAGGAGCGUGGAAAAUGCAAACAUGUGAAUUUCUCAAAAAAUAACAAAAAUUAAUAAGUGUCGUAUUUGCGUUCUCCGCAAAACCUCCGGUGUUAAAACAUUAAAAGAAAUUAAAAUUGACCUAAUUUUAUAUUUUAAAAUAGAGUUGAUCUUUUAUCGUGGAACAACAGAAUCAAUAUGUACAAUAAUAAGAAUCUCGUAAAUCAAGUAACAAUUUUUUCUAGCUUAUAAUCCCUUUCUUUUGUCUAAUAGUUAUGCUAGAAUUUUAAUCUCUCAAAUGAUUAUUACGGAUUUAGUUACGAAAUAAUCAUUAUAUAAAAAUAGUUGAUUAACUAUUUCUGUGUAGGCUCCUAUUCUUAGGUGCAUCUUAAUUUUGUUUUUUUUUCUCAUAACUAGGCCAUUAGAUCAGCUAAUUAAAUUUGCCAUGUUCUACGCAUAAUUAUUUUAUUAUUUUCACUGCUUUUUGGGACAUGGUAUUUGGAGAUUUAACGGGAUAACAAUAGGAAUCUACAAGCAAUCUAAAUAAUAAUUAAUAAUAAUAAUAAUAAAUAAUGAGAAAUAAUUAAUUAUCAGAAAAUAAAAAUUAUAUUAAUAAAAAUGGUGGACGAAGAAAUUAAAUUCAAAAUCAUUUAUAACAGAGAAGAUUUUGCGCAAACUUUAGUACUAUAUAAAUAGUGUGAAAAAGCUUUUUGAUUUUUCUACCUAUUAUUUUAAUUUAUUAUUUGAAUCAGUUAAUAACCUUUUACCUUAUUAUUUAUUUUUGUAGAUUUAGAUAAUAUAUGUUGUGUAAUUUACUAUAAAUUUACUAAAAUAUAUAAUUAAUUUAAAUUUUGCAUCUAAAGAGUUAUUAAAUUACUAAAAAAAUAAAAUAAAUUAAAUUAAUUAAAGUUCAAAUAAGUCGUAUCCAUUGUGAUUCAAAGGGCGGAUAGGGCUAAAAUGGUCAAUCCACCGGCUGCGCCAUCUCAUGCUCAUCUACUGACACGUGUCCUUUUCGUUCACCCUACGUUUCAUGCCCCGUCCACUCUCCACGUCGACUAUAUUUUAAUGUCAAGCGCACCUAUGUUUACUUUUGGACAAAAAUUUUUAGGGGCAUAGUUCCAAACUAAUUAGUUUCGGGACUAUACAGAUCGGCGCCACAUGACUGAUUAGACGAGUGUCUUUCUCAGUUUUUUUUUUUUUCUCUCUAAAAACACAGGGCUCACUUUUCUUUUUUCUUUUUUUUUCAUCCGUGGCUGUCCAAUGGGCCACAUGGCGCUGAUCCGUAUAGUUUCCAAACUAAUUAGUUUGGAAAAUUUGCCCAUAAAAUUUUUGUCCUUUACUUUUGUUGUUUACUUUAAUUUUAAUUUUUUCAUUAAUUAUAUUUUUAUUAUUUUAAAUCAUUUAAUUAUUUUGAUUUUUUAUAGUUUUUAAUUAUAAUGAAAUUGGUAGGUCAGCACGGAACCUUGCCUAGUGGCAAUUUUUUUCUUAUGAUAUAAAACUUUUUAUGAUAUAUUAAAAAUGAAUUAUUAUUGAACGUUUAAUCUCAACUCUCUGAAAACCAUUUUAAUUUGAAAUAAAAGAUAACAAAUUCUCAAUUUUUUUAUUCAUGCACUUUAGCUCCAUAUUUAGUGGCAUGAGCACGGAGCUAAAUAUGGAUUAGUAAAUAAUAGCAGCAUGUUAAUUAAUGCAUAGGAAGUAAAUAUUUUUAAAAUAAUUUAUGUAUGCCCUGACGCAAUAUAGGUUUGCCAAUAAAUAAACAACUUAUACGUUGACUGGGACACUGAAACCGAAAAUAUUUUUGGGCUUUAUUGGGAUGCAUGCCACUUGUAUUUUUUAUCUAAAUUAUCAAAUCCACUACUUAUAAGUUAUCAUAUGAUGAUAAUUUAAAAACAAAAAGGCAUGUGACCCUUAUUUAUGAGAAGGGCUAUUCAUGUAGUAAUUUACAAAGUAAGCUAGAAAGUUCCUACUUUGUAUUAUAUAAUUUUGUUUGUAUUUUAUCAUACAAAUUUGUAGUUAAAUGAAAUUAAAAAUUACCAUACUUUAUAAUGUAGGGAGUGAUAAAAUAUAGCUGUUUACUAGUUUGUAAAUAUAAAAAGUAUACCUAUUAACUUUCUUCUGCGAAACAAUGUGAAAUAAUAGUAAUGAUAAUAAUAAUAAGUAUUAUUCUUCAAAAUUUUAAACCAUCACUUUUGGGUUAAAUUUAAAUUCUCGUGUUCCUACAAGCAGUUAUUAUUUUCGAAAAUAUCGAAACAAGCGAUAUUUUUAAUAUUUAUAUUCAACAUCUCCUAUUCCCUCCCCCUCAUUUCUAUUAUUUAUUAUGUGCCCUACUAGAUCCAUAACCCACUGUACAUGAUCUCUGUUCCUUGCCCUUCCACAUAGAUAUAUAUAUAUAUACAAGUCCCUCACCAAUUCUUAGGGACUGAAACUAAUAAAUCGUACUCCUCUCCAAUCACCAACAAUCUCUCUCUCUCUCUCUCUCUCUCUCUCUCUCUCUCUCUCUCUCUCUCUCUCUAAACCAGUUAGUGGGGGGAGAGAAAGCAUGGGGAGAGCUCCAUGUUGUGAGAAGGUGGGGUUGAAGAAGGGGAGGUGGACUGAAGAGGAGGACGAGAUAUUGGUUAAGUAUAUUACCACCCAUGGUGAAGGUUCUUGGAGAUCCUUGCCUAAGAAUGCAGGUACAAUACAUAUACAUGCAUGCCACUAAGCAAGUACUUCUCAAUUUGAUUCUAUCUCUACUUUCUCUCUCUAAAAAUGUUGGUUGGAGCUAGAUAUUUGCUUUUGGAGACAAAUGAUUUUGUCACAUAAAUGCAUGCAUGUAUGGUACCAGAGCAGAAGAUUUUCAAAACAAGUCUUUUUUUUUCAGAUUCUUAUUCUCAUACGAAUAAUUAAAGUACCAUUUCAUCGCAACUUAAGUUUUUAGAGAUUAGCGAUUAGUUCGCACCGAAUUAGAGAAACUUUAUAGUAUAUAUAUAUAUAUAUAUAUACCCAACUCAUCAUAAGUUGAUCAUCACCUUCUUCUUCUUCGUCCUUUUACUAGGGCUUUUGAGGUGUGGGAAGAGCUGCAGGUUAAGGUGGAUAAAUUAUCUUAGAGCAGAUCUAAAGAGGGGAAAUAUUUCUCAGGAGGAGGAGGAGAUGAUAGUAAAACUCCAUGCCACCCUUGGGAACAGGUACUAUGGAUCUUCUAUAUCUUUCUCUUUCUAUGCUCACCAUCCUGCAUUUUUUACCAUAAACGUCCAUCAUUUUACUGGGUUUUUCUCCGAAUGAUAACAUUAUAAUUAAUCAAAAUUAACUAUGUGAGGUUGGAUAUAAUUAAUUGGAGGUUGUGUUGGGAAAUUUAUUUGCCUUUGUGUUUGGUACCUAAACUCAAUAUAGUAUUCACUACUUAAAUUAAUUACCUUCUCUGGGUUAUGUUUUCUGAAAAGAUCCAAACACUAUUAAAAAGAAAAAUUAAAAAAAAAAUAUCCUGCACGGUAAAAUGCGCUUAUUAACUAAGACAAAAAAUUAUAAAAACUUAUCCUUUUAUGAAAAUUGUAACUCAGACCGUCCUUAGAGCUCGUGUUUGAGUUAGUCAUAGUUUUUACAACAUAUUGAGAUUUGCUUCCACUGUUGCUUUCGGUAGCAAUCGCAUCUUUUCUUUUGCUAUAUUAAGAAAUAAUAAUAAUAACAAUUACGAAGCUUAAAAUUAAAUAUUUAAUUAAAAAAGUUUCGAUCUAAUGCUUCUCUUAAAAGCAUUACUCAAACGAUACGUACAGCUGCGUACAUAUCAUAAAUAUCACUGCACUACAUCACUAUUUCUUUUCUCUUUCAUAAAAAAAGCUCGAGACCUGGCCCACACGUCCCGUACCAUUAUUGAUGCUGUUAUUAUAAAAUUAUUCACUUAUUAUUAUUAUUUUUUUUGUUCUUCGUUUCCCACAAGGGCGUUGUUUAUGUUUAACAACGUGGGAAGAGUCAGAGUGCGGGGUGGUUGUGGGGCCCACGCACGCAUCGGAGCUAGCGAAUCAGAAGCGGCCUUCUGCGCGGGUCGCAGGGGGUGGGCCCCGCCACGGCUGCGGCAGACGUGGCGUCCUGUGCGCCGUCGGUGGUGAUGCACGUGGGCGAAAUCGUCCACUUACCGUUUCGUCCACGUCACCGACUCUCUGUUUUGUCCUUUUCCCAUGUGCGGUUUAUUUCCUCUUUUUUCCACAAAUUUUAGUAUUUUACCUCAUUAUUCUACAAAAAGUACGUAUCCUUAGCAGCCAAGUAUAGAACGUUAACAAAAAGUAAAAUAAUAAUAAUAAUAAUAAUAAUAAUAAUAAUAAUAAAUUAUAUAAAAUUUAUCUGAAUUAUAGAUUUUUUUAGUCCCACAAAUUUGACCUUUCAAAAUUUUACUUUUAGUAUUUAUUUUUUUUAAAAUUUAUUUGAUUUGAAUAGUUAUCACCGGAUAUAAAAUUUUUACUUGUUUUAACAAAUUUAUAGUUAGACGAAUUAUAUAAAAUAUAUUAACUAAACUCGCAAAGAUAAACAAUGCAUUCAAAUUUUAAAAUUCAAGGAUUACUAACCCGCUUAAGUUAAUAAAUUAAAAUAUUAGAUAAUAAAAUUAAAAUUUUUUAAUGUCAGAU
rnacentral:lncRNA from 1 species